GAAACUUCAGGAUUUGUAAUAGUUUUAUACAUAGGAUAUAAUAGAUUUAAAUUUCUUAAUCGGGCUAUAAUAUUUUGGACUGUAACACUAGAGUUAAAGUAGUUAUAAGAUGGAUGACUCUCUGGAAUGAAAAGUGGGGUGUCAUAUUUGGUAUCUAAGCUAACCAGGUAAAAGUGUGAGGUAAAUCUCGACUGAGUCAGAAUUAUAUAACGAGCAGAAUACGGCUCUCGGACUGACGACGAUUGUGAGUGAAGUGCAACUUCACACAAAGUCGGCUAAGUCUAGUAAGACGAGUCUUAUCUCGUAUGAUACUUGUCAAUGUGUUUGAGUGUGACAAGAACGUAAGACUCGUGACUUGAAGGUCAUAUAUAUGAAAUAAAAUAUGACUAACAUUUUUAAUCCGGUUAUGGUAUUUCAGGAGUUAGUUAGAUCUAACAAUUCAAUAGAGUUGUGCACGUAGAGUUAAGAGUAGUCCUCUGGUUGAUGAUGUUUUUCUAGAAAGCUUUACCUAAAUUUCUAAUUUAGUUUUUUUUUUUUUUUUUGUGUCAAAAUGUCUAUUAAAUUGGAUGGGAGUCGUCCAUAUCAAUAUUGAGACAUGUUUGUCACGUUUUACCAAAUUUUGUGGCGUGGCAAUGCACACAAAGGCUAACAGACUUUUUGACAGGGGAGAAUUGAAAACAAUUAAUAAAAAUGUUGGAGAACACUGCUCUUACUCAAAAUAAAUGAAAGUUCAACAUAUCCAAAUAAAAAAUAUAAAAAAAAUGCUAGUUAUGCACUCUGUUUUAAAAUGUAAAUCUUACAUCUUAUGAUCUACAGAUUUAAAAGUACUUUUUGAAUUUUUAGUCCGAAUUUUUUUUUUUUGGCUUUGUUUAUUUUUUAACCUGAGAAUGUGAAUCAAUAAUUAGAUUUCAAACUUAAAAUUUUGGAUAUCAAUCAUCAAUUUCUUUACGGCUCCUAAAGUUGAGCGGGAUCGCUAUAAAUAUAUUUAUCCUAUGAGCAAUGCCAGCCAUACACUCCGCUUCAUGGUAUAAACUUUAUACUCAUGGAUUUUUGGUGACUUAUAUUUUAUUACUCGUCAUAUUAAUUUUCUUAAAAAAAUAUUAGAAGUUAUAUGAAUUUUUAUCAAUUUCUGAAUUUAAAGGCGUAAGAUUUACACCGCAUAAGGACUGUAAACUUCCAUUUUUAUUUUAUUAUAUCUUCCACUCAUCAAAAUAUUUUUUAUAAAUUUCUAAAUAUUUCUUCAAAUACCUUUAAAUUUCUAUGACGUGCUAAUAAGAAUUAGAAUUUAGAAGACUAUUUUGAUAAUUUUAAAAUACCUUGAAAAUUUUUUAAUAAUAAUUAGGAAUAAAUAAAUAAUCUAGCAGCAGAGAGAGAGAGAGAGAGUGCGCGUGUUUUUAUUUAUUUAUUUACUUUUUUUUUUUCUAGAGAGAGAGAGAGAUGGGGGCGGGUGGUGGGGAGGAGCAGCAGGAGAAGGAGAAGGAGAAGUGGGGAUUGUCGUCGAUAUCGCUGGACGGGUUGCGGGACAAGAACGUGAUGCAGCUGAAGAAGCUCAACACCGCCCUCUUCCCCGUCCGAUACAACGACAAGUACUACGCCGACGCCCUCGCCUCCGCCGAUCUCACCAAGCUCGGUCGGUAACAACCCCUCCCCCUCUAAUCAACCCUAUACCCUAAAUCCAUCAUCCCCCCCUCCCUCUCUCUCUGGUCGAUUCAAACCCUAACAACAACCUUACCCUGACCCUAACCCUAACCCUAAUUGCGUGAUGGUGAUGAGGAGGAGGAGGAGGAGGAGGAGCUUGUGGUUAGGGGCAAUGCGAUUCUCGGUUGGUUUUAUAGCUGUUGCUACCAUUCCUUCUCUCUCUCUCUCUCUCUCUUUCGCUCGAUUGAGAUGCCGUAACUGGAUGGAUGGUGAUGAGAUUUGUGAUCAGCAGGAAACGAGCGAUUCUUGAUUGAUUGAUUGAUUGAUUGAUUGAUUGAUAAACAGCUGCUGGUGUCAGUUUUUCUAUAGAAGUUCUGCUUUGCGAUUUUCUCUGUCGAUUCGUCCUUCUUUGACGUUUGAAGCUAGCUAAUCCGAUGCAUGGGGGGGCCCCGAUUCGUUGUUGGGGUUUUGUGUUCUCCUGCUAUUUUGUGAUUCUUGAAUCGUUUGGGGCUGGUUAUAGAUGGCAUUUGAUUUUCUAGGGUUUUACGAACCAGGACAUGUAUGCCUGUUAUCUUAUUCUUCCUUGCUUUUUGGAUUCGUUUUUUUUGGGUUUCAGAAAGUAAGAAUUUGCACAAGGUCGGGUCGAAGAAAUUGAUUUGGAAUUGGUUAUGCGAAGUUCAUUAUAUUGUGAUCCAACCUUAUUUUGGAAGAAGACUUUGUGAACAAACUUGUUUAGGGUCAAGAAAUCUUUAUAUCAUUGUCGUCCAAAACACGCGCGCAAGUAAUUGCCAGUAAAACCCUACGAAGGAGUUGUAGUUGGUGAUUCUGACUUGCAAAAAUUUAAAACUUCAUGAUGCUAUACUGCUUAAGAGCUCUUUAAUCCUCCUGGUUUGGCUGAUUCGUCAAAUGUUAAGAUUAGUCUAUAGUAGUAGUAAGCCCGAGUGCAUCACAAUCAUAGAUUCCAGUGGUUGCUAUUUUAUUGAAUUUUCAUUAUUUCUUGUAUCAAACUUGCUGAUUCUUUCUGGGUUUAUUGUUACCUUUUGUAGCAUAUUUCAACGACAUCUGCGUUGGAUCAAUUGCGUGUCGUCUUGAGAGAAAGGAAGGAGGGGCCAUCCGUGUUUACAUUAUGACAUUGGGGGUUUUGGCACCAUAUCGUGGCCUAGGAAUAGGUGAGUUUUGUUUUUAUUUGUACAUUGCAUACUUCUGUUUCUGAGUUUAUUUACAAGAUAGAGUCCAAAUAUACACAUUCUCCUACUAUUAUACAUGAAUGCCUAAUCCUGAAUCUUACACUGUUGAUAUAAGCUUCAGCGAUAAAAUCAAUUUUAGCAAUGACCUAAAAUAAGAGAACCAAAUAUGCUAAAGAGUUAGAUGUGUCUGUUUAAAAGUACCUCAUUUCACUUUUGUUAUACACGUAGAGCACGUUGUAUAAAGUGGUACAUCACCGACCCCAUCAAACUGUAUUUCAUCCCUAUUUGCACCGUGUAGAAAGAUGGUUGGGAAAAAAUUGUAUGAUAGUAAGGUUAUGUAUUCAAUUAGGAUGCCAUCAGAAGAAUUUUUUUGGUCUUACGGCGCAACAGGCUGAUUGUUUCACUCGUAAUCUUCCAAAAGAGAAGAGUCUUGUAUGGAUACGAUGUUCUGAAUUGUCUUUAGAAACUAGAAUGAUGUUUGAGACACGUUAUUUUGAGUGGCAUGUUUCUAUUAACUCUUACUCCGAGUGGGAUGCACACACCUCUUGAACAGUACAUCCUAUUCUUCUUUCCAUGCUUUGAUAAUGUGGUCCAACAAAGAAAGAAAGAGAAUACCAACACUAUAAUAAUGCCAAAAACUCUGGACUCUCGACUAUGCGCCAUCAUAUCUGAUGUUCACUGUGCUCACUGCAUCCUAUUAGUAGAUCUUACUAGUAGAGAUCCAAUGCAUCAUUUGCAGACAAUGAUCUAAAACCAGCUGUUUUUGCUCGUGUCCACAAUCCUGUGACGCCCCAACUUUCCAGGUCACCCAUUUUAGGAUUAUUCCCGUCCUAGCACACUUAACUCUUUUAACUUCUUGGGUCUAGCCAUCAUCCAAAAUAUUUAAGCCGGGUUAAGAAUUUUAGUCCUAUUAUAUUUUAUAUAUAGGACUGUUUGUGGUCUCACAUUCUCCCCCCCUUAAGCCCUGACGUUCUCGUCAGGUUCAGACUCACAAGUAUCAGGUGAUGUGAGACUCGUCUUGCUAGUCUAAACCUGACCUUGUGGUAAGCUGCGCUCUACUACAACAGUCAACAGCAUGAGAGUCUCGCUCUCUUCGUUGUAUAAUCCUGGUUCACACUUUCGGCUAGUAAUUGGUUCUGAUACCAACUAUGAUGCCCUAACUUACCAGAGGGUCACCCAUCUUAGGACUACUGUCCUAACAUGCUUAACUCUCUCAACCUCUUAAGCCUAGCCACUAUUUAAAAUGUUUAAGCCGGAUUAAGAGUUUUAGCCCUAUUAUAUCUUAUAUAGAGGACUGGUCGUGGUCUCACAUUCUCAUGGCGUAUUUGAUCGUGUAAAACUCGAGAUAAAACUGGAACAUAAAUGGGAGAGCCCUCAUGGCAUAUUUGAUCGUGUAAAACUCUCAGACAAACUGAAACAGAAAUGGGAGCAUACCCAAAUGAAACCUUAGCAUAGUGUUGUCACAAAAACGUGAUAUUGUGGUAGCAUAUCACAAAAAAUAGGGGUUUCAUGAUCUGUCGUUGCAUUCUGUAAUUUUUUUUUUUCUCAUUUUUUUUUUCAAUUGUUAUGUUUUGUUUUCAUUACCAUACUGCUUAGGUUCAUCUUUUGGAACUUGGGCCUCACCCUGAAGCUCCUGCACCUUGUGGUUACAGGCACCAAGUUGUUGACACAUGUUUUGGAUCUGUCCGCAAAGCAAAACAUCUCAGAGAUUUACUUGCAUGUCCAGACAAACAACGAUGACGCCAUCGCAUUCUACAAGAAGUUUGGAUUUGAAAUCACAGAUACCAUCCAGAACUACUACACAAAUAUCACGCCGCCGGACUGCUACGUUCUCAGUAAGGUUGUUUCUCAUGCUAAUCCGAAGAAAUGAGUCUUGGUUAAUUCUAUGGCUGUUUCUCAUGUUAGUUGGCAGAAGUCAGUCUGGGUUAUUUUCCCUUAAUGAAAAUCUGAAUUAUCAGAGGGUAAAAGUGUAGUCGUCAUACCUAAGGUGAGGUGUUGAACUGCGAUAAAACAUUCCAGGCUUUGAGCAUUAAUAUUUAAUGGCUCUGUUGGACCUUUUUCAAAAAACUUGCUUUCGGUUCUGCUUUUAUUUUUUCAGCUGCUAUCGCAGUUAGUAUUCCUUGAGAAAAAACCUGGUACCUUUAAGGCUGGUGAAACGUUUUUUAAUUUUCAUAGUUACCAAACUGUUAUCCAUUAGUGUAUCAGUUAAGAAAAACCUGUCAUCCGUUGGCCCCUUCAUUCACAGAAUUUUAAGUAUGCAAAUAGGGAAAAAAAAAAUUACAAUAAUACAAAAAAAAAAAACUUUAUGUGCAACGAACAAGGCCUCUAGCAUUCAAUUAGCAGCAGCGAAAAAGCACAAUUAGUUAAUCUCUAGUCUCACCGAAUUGCAAGUGGAUGAUUAGAGAUAAAAUGUGUUUUAAGUCCACUAGCUUGGAAGCAGUGCGUUAAUAACAGCAGUAACAUCAGGAUAUUAACUUCACUUGUUUUGUUCAACCAAAUAUGUAACGAAGAACCUGCACGCUGCAAACUACACUACAAUGCCUACCUGCGCAUGCACAUGACCAUGUUAAGGCCCGAAACACCUUUUCUAGUUCACAAUAUUACAUUCCCAGUAGCUGGUAACCGCACACAGCCCAUACAUAAUAACAUGCAAUAUAAAGCCAUAUUUCAGUGUAACAAGUUAAUACAUAUACAACAAGAUGGAUAGAUCCGGGUCCUAUGAUUGUUACCUGCCUAUUAUUACCUGCACGGCAGAAAACUCGGAUGAUAAAAGCUACUAGAUCUGGUCAACAAGAACAAGAGAGAAGACGACCCUCAGAAAAUAAUGAGUGCUUGAAAGAAUAUACCUAUUAUUUAUUAGUUGUUGUUCGUCUGUUCAUGCUCGAUGAAGUCAAGAGCCUCCUCCUUCGAAACCACAUUCACAUGGCUCACCCUGUUUUUGUGCGUCACGCCAUAUAUCUUAUCUGCGACUUUAACGAGCUCCGGCCGGAACGUGGUAGUGAUGAACUGUGUAUUGGCCAUGUCAGCUAGCCUGCGAAUCAUAUCUAAGGAACAAAAGUGAAGGUUCACAUUGCAGAGCGAAACUACGAUUCUAUCUUGAAAAGAAACUAGUAUUUGUUUUUAAGUUAAAUUCAAAGGGCUUUAGGUAGCUUUAAAGGAGAAAACAUACUUUGUAUAACAGAGUGUGUCUUGGGGGAGGUUAAAAAAACCACAAAAUAAUAUUGGAUUGCCCAAAUUGCGUGCAGUCGCCAGAGUGCAUCAAUAAUUUCCUACAAACGCAUUAACGAAGAAACAAAAUGAAACAGACAAAGGAUACUUCCGACAGCUGUUCUGUAUUGAGGAUCUAACGCUGCAUCAAUCUCAUCAAACAGAUAGAAUGGGGCAGGGUCACAUCGCUGGAUGGCGAAGAUCAGUGUCAAUGCAACUACAGUUUUCUGACCUCCGGACAAUUGUUUCAUGGAUUGGGUUUCUCCUUGCCCAGUAAAGGAGACCUAGCAAGAAAGCGAGAGAAUUUGAAGAAGUAAGAUUUCUGCAACAUCAUCUUCUCUGACUUUGUCAAGGAAAAAGGGGUAAAAACAACAUAGUUUUGAUUAACCAGAAGAGAAAGUUACACUAGUUCCUGACAAUUGUUCAUUUUCCCUUUGUAGAAAACAGGUAGAAAUCCUCACUAAUGUUCCUUUAUCAAACAUCAUGUAAAUUUCAGACUUUAUUGAGAAAUUGAUAUGUAUAAGAUAAAUGAUACAAACUAUUUUAGCUAGUUGAUAAAAAACUCCUUUAGUUAUAUAAGCUUUUGGGAUUAGUUAAAAAGAAUAUAAGGUCAGGAACAGCCCACAGUAGCACAUGAUCUGUUAUCUGUGACCGUCAUUCUAUAACUUGCAGAAGUGGAAAAUAAUAAGAAGCUUUUGAGUAUAACAAGAUAUGCAAACUCCACAAGAAAUACAUACCUUCACUUUAACUCCAAUGUAUUUUUCAACUCUUCCUUCAGGAUCUGGUUCACGAGGUCCAUCCUCAUCACGAUCAUCAUCACCAGCUUCGCCAUCCUUCACAAACAAAACGAAAUAAGUAAAAAUGGUUGCAAUACAAAAAAAAAAAGUAUGUCAAAGCACAUAUAACAAUAGAAAAAAAGGAACCUUUUUCUUCAUCAUAACCAAGUAGCCAUGGCCACCUUGCACGAGCUCAGCAAACACUUCUCGAAAAUGCCUUGCUACUCCCUUGAAUGUUCGUUCAAUUGAUUCAUCCUUCCGUUGAUCUAAAACUGAAAUAAGUUCCCUAAUUUUCUGCAAUAUCAUAAACAAUCUAAUUGUAACAUGACAGGAUGCAUAAGCUAACAGCAUGGAACAUUGAAAAUGAAAGGCAGUACUUGAUCGCCUGCAUCAAGUUCAGCUCGUCUUCUCUGUAGUUGUUCACGUUGCUCAGUGAAAUUCACGUAUUGGUCAAGAGCCUUCUUGUUAACAUGACUAAAUUGCUUUAGCUGUUCAUUGCACUCAUAGAGCAACUUCUGUAAUUGCUUUUUGCUUUUCCUCUUAUACCUGCAUUUUCUCUCUCAAUCGUAAGGAAAAAUAGUUGCAUUAUUGACGAAACAAUUAAUAAACCAGAAAUAAUGACUUACAAGUGUUAUCCUCGUUUUGGAUUUCAAGCGACAAAAGACAUACAGGAAAAAGAUACUAUUCAACUAUGAGAUUUUGUAUGAUUCUAUUUCUUCCGUUUGUAAAAUCAAAAUUACUUGCAAAUUACCCAUAUAGGAUCAUUUGAGGUCUGUUGAAUGAAGCGCCUUAACUGCUGAUUACUGUUUUAGUUCCUUUCCUAAUGGCUUUAUUUAGUUUAUAAUAUUUCUGUUUUCAAAAUGCAUUUGCUUAAGUGGAAUAUAACAUUUUUUGCUGAAUAUUUGAUAGACAAACUUUCAGCACUUACAAGGUCAAAAGUCUCUCUUUAAUAGCUAAGUGACUGUACAAAUAAUGCAGCAUAUAUUUGGCAGUCCAAAAAUGACAACACAGAAAGCAGGGGAUACGACAAAUCACCCAAGAAAAUUUAGACGCAUGAAAACAUCAGGAGUUGAAAGAAUUCCGAUAUUUUGCACCAUGAUAUAUUCUCAAUAGUAAAACACCAAGAAAAUGGUUAAACCUAGAGAUUCUAAAAUAUCAGCUAAAAAGUCCAAGAGCCAAGUUCAAUGUAUGAAAGAGCACCGGGCGAUUUGGGAGUACAAAUAUUGUUCGCAAAAUCCCUUAUCUCUCACAGUGGCUCAGCUGAAUUUGCUAAGAAAUUUGGGACUCGGGGGGGACUAAGGAAAUGAGUCCAAUUUCAGUCAGGAAUUUAUUUUCAGCGUAAUAAAGCAUAAGAAAGAUUACGUUUCAAAAGCAUCUGAAGGCAACGAGCCCAAAUCCCUGAUUUUCUUCAUGCACUCCUCUUGCUUAGUGAUAUGCAUACUCCUACUGUUCAUCAACUGAUCUAAGUCUCUUGCUCCAUCUUGAAGUAUUCGCUCAAGUUUUGCUUCAAGUGACUGCAUCAUAAAGAGAAUCAAUUAAAAACAAACAUAAAUAAGAAAGAGCAUGCCCAUUGAUGUCAUUUAUUACCUUUAGCUCUUCCUUUUGUUUUUUUAUUGCAUCUGUCUUUUUGGUUAGACUAUUUAUUGCUUCAACACCAGCUGUAGAAAUGACAAUAGCAGUAAGGAGAUGCACAUAAGAUAUAAACCAAGAAAGAGAGUGCAAGAUAUGCAUGUCAAAGGCCUACCUUUGAGCUGUUGGGUCAGCUCAUCAACAGUAGAUUUAGAAUUCUUAACCUCCUGCCUUUUUGAUUCAGCUUCAACUAUUACGGUCUUAGAAUCAGCUGAUAAGAUAAUUGCUUCCAGCUCUUGCUGUCGCCUCACAAGGUUAGUUGAAAGAUUGGUUUCUAGUUCCUCCUUCCUCGUCUCAAUCUAUGAAAUCUCAGAGAAUAAUUGCAGGAUGUCAGAGCAUUCUAGAUGACGAAAAGCAGUUCAAUAGAUUCAUUUCACUAACCUCAAUUCGAUUAGUUUUACAAGACAGAAGCAUCUCUUUCAAUUCUGUAAUUUCAGGAUUUAAUCUUGAAAGAAGAUUUCUUUCUUCAGGUGUUAACUGAUCAAUAAGCUCUGUUCCCAUUUCUGCUUGUUUCAAUGCGAUACCAGAUCGGAUUUGAUCAAUCUGGUUACGGACAUUUGCAAGUAACUUUCCCUGCAAUAAAUAAAUAGAAUGCGGUCACACUAUCAUGCAUAAAUAAACAUGCAGCAACUGCCAGAUAAAAGAUCAAUUGCCGACAUGAGGAAGAGGUCAUCAACUGAAAAAAAAAAAAAAAAAAAAAAAAAAAAAAAAAAAAAAAAACCCAGCACCUUUUUCUCCAGAGAUUUUGUAAUUGAUUGCCUCUGCUUAAAUGCACCGGCAAUGUCAGUUUUAAGUUGUUCCAAUUCUGACUUUUCAUGGUCACGGUCUGCAUCCAUCUGCUGUUGUCUGGUAACUAGUUUUGUUAUUUCCUGGUCUAUCUGUGUGGAAAGUUAAUGGCAAACUGAAAUCCUGAUACUUAUGAUAAACAGACAAGUCAAAAGCAACUAAAGCUUCAAAGUUUACAUAACUCUCGACAAAGCACCCCUAACCACAUUAUGCCAAGGAUAGAGUGAAACCAUGAAAUACUGAAAAACACUAAUCACCAAUUUUACUUGAUAGGGGUGCAGUCAAGAGAAGACCAGUUAAUAAGCCUAUACUCAGUUACAGAACAAACAAUAUAACUGACUCAAAAACUAUUAUUUGCAAAAAGAAACCAGUACUUAUGUAGCAAGCAUCUAGCAAUUAAAAAGGUAGGAUGAUAGCAAAUUAUUUGCACAAAAAUCAAAAGCUUUAUUACCAAUGUAGCUUAACCAAGGUAAUAUAGCUUAACCACCGUACAUUGUACAGGGCAGCAGCACAUUGUGUGAGCAAGCCAUGUGUCUGUUUGUGUAUCUCUUGUGUGCGCCCGCGCGCGCGCGCAUGUGUGUGUUCUUUUGUGUGUGUGUGUGCGCAUGCGUGUGUGUGUGCGCCUGUAGCAUUUCAGCUUCUUGAAAAGAAGAAAAUAUAGGUGACCAAAAGGAUUCAGGAUAAAGAGAAAGUAAUUUAAAAGGAUAUCUUUGAGUUUCUUCCCAAUUUCCUCUAAUUCCACUGUCUUUUUGUGGAUAGAAGUCUUAUUUUCCCUGACUAUCUUCACAAACUUCAGUUUUGAACGUCUAAAAUCGUAGAAUCCGCCUGUCAUACCACCUUUCCUGCUUACUUGAUCACCUGAUGUAUUGCUUAAACUGAAUAUCAGGUUAACAUGAAAAUAUGUGCAACACAUUGAUUGGCCAUGUAAAUUGAGACGAACCUUCCAACGUGAUGCAGUCAAGACUGUUAUUUCGGGCAACUUUGGUUGCCACAUCCAAGUCACGACAUAUCACCGUCCUGCCAAAUACCUAGUAUGGAUAUCAAAUAACUGAGAUCAAAUAAAGGUCCUUAAGAGUAAAGAAGAAAGUAUAUUUUAAGUACUAUGCAAUUUGACAUAACUGCCGAUGACUUUCAGGUAACUAUAAACCAUUCUCACAGAGAAAAAUAACUACUACAUCCAAGAACUACUCCAAGAAAAAGUAAGAAAGCAAGUUGAAGAAUAACAAGAUGACAAUGAGAAAACAUGAUCCCUUGUAACUAGUGCACCUAGUUUGAUAUGGGGCGGAGAGAGCAUUCAGAGAGGCUUCAACAAUUAUGUAUUGCACUCUAUUUUUUUCACAUUAUUAAUUGUAAGAUAGCAAUAAGAGGGAUCUGUUUGCUGAACCAAUACAUAUUUAUGUGAUUCAGAAUCAAACUUGUCUAAAACAUCUGCAUAUUUUCUUUAGUUCAAUUUAGACAUUGAAUUAUUUGCUAUGAGAUUUUACUUGUUCAUAAAGUGAUCGAGUUUUCAAUGAAGUGUUUAUCAUAACUCACUCUAACAAAUAGAACCAAAGUGGAAGUAAUAUUCCAUCAAACACUUUUAAGAGCCCUAGACCGUGAUAACAUCAGCCAAAUGUUCCAGUAUGGCGGUACCAUUUAUUAGGAAAUAAUAUUUUGAAACAACAGUUUUUAAGUUUUUAUAACCAAACUGAAAAACCCAAAAUCUUUACUUGGACAACUAUAGCAGUGCAGAUUGAAUAGUUCCACAGAACGAAUUAAGGUGAAGCAUAAUUUUUAAAUUGUCAUAAUUCAAGCCUUUUGUUACAGGCUCAAGCCUCAAGCUUGGCAACUUGACCUUGCACUCGAUCAAAUGAGGUGAAUUUAACUAUUCUGUAAAGGUCGACAAAUGGCAUAAGAGUAGCAUGCAAAGGCAGUUGUUAAACGACAAUGACACUCAAUGUAAAAUCUGUAACUGUAUCAUGACAACGUCAGUGUUAACCAUAAGAAAGUGAAACUUUGCCUAGGAAAUCUUAAUGAAGAGGUGAAUAUUUGCUACACAGUCGAAGUUCACAUUCCAAUAAUUGUACCAACGAUAAAUUGCUUGAUUAUAUAAGGAACAGUUGAAUGAAAGCGCCUCCAUUGACUAUUAGUAGAGAAAGUGAGAAACCCUUCAACACGUUUGUUUCAUAUUGCAUUCAACUUCAUCCAAUCAUAGCUUCUAAUUGCAAAAACAUCAAAGAUGUGAAACAUACCUGCAUAAAAGCAGGAGCAUAAUCAGAACGAUAUUUCAGCUUCUUUAGCAAAGGCACAACAUCAGGACUUUGUGGAUAGUUCAUCUCCGGACCUUUUACCCUGUUAAGUGGUAUAAAUGUCACCCUUCCACCUUUCUCUGCCGUUAGAUAUCUUAUUAUCUUAGUUGAUAUAUCGUCUGUUUCAACAACCACAUGGAACAAGCUGCAUAUAAGAGAAAAAAAGACUAGUAAGGUCAUGAAUAUGAAAGCUAAAUAAUGCCACAAUAUUUUCAGGAAUAUCAAACUUUCGUUAAAUAAUACGAUGUUCAAUUCAUCGGACCUAUUUCCAGCAGUGACUUCAACAGCAGUAAAAAACUUCUCCUCACACUCAACCAACUCCAAUACUGGACCAAAUACACCUUUAAUAUUAUGAUCCUUGAUGAUCCUAUUGACAGAAUUCAGCCCUCUUCUUGUGUCCUAGACAAGCAUGAAGAGCAAAGACAUUCACAAUGUUAUUAAAUAAGGUUUACAAAAGACUGAAAGUAUCUGCCUAUUAUCUACAUAAACUGCCAUAAUUAACUAACCAGGCAAAAAAGAAAAAAAAAAAAAGAACAAAGAAAGAACAAACUUGAGAGCAUACAAGAUAAUUACUUCAGAAUUUUUUAAUUGGACCUGAUUACACUCAGCUAAAAUGAUAAAAACAAUCCAAUAUAAGAAUUUGAAGAGAAAAUUUCAAUUGUUUCCGAGAAAGAACAUAUCAGUCAAAUUGACAGACUUCAAUAAAAAAACACACAGAGAUGAUUCUGUUUUAGUAAUUUCUGAAACAGCGAUCUCAAACCUUCAGAUUAAGAAGGGUUCUGCCAGAGGAAUGGUUUCCGAAUCAAACAAAGGAAAGUUCAGAAAAGGAAAGAGAUACUAUUAUGCCUUAUGCAAAAUUAACAGAAAAGCAACCUGCUGUUCAGAACGUCCAAGAUUUCAAUUUCAAAUAUUAAAGUCAGGUGAAAAAGAAAAGCUCGAGGCGCCAAUCAUUACCACAGGCAAUUCCAACACAAAAGUCCCAAUAACCCUGAGCUAGUCUUCAUAUUUGCAAUAUUUUCUUUUCAUAGUAAUAUGAAUCAAUAAAUUUAUCUAUGUUUCAUUGGUGACAACGUGAUAGCAAGUCAGCAGAUGGAGAUAUUUUAACCAAAUAGCCAAAGAACAAAUUUAGUUGAAACAUCCACACAAUUUUCACACACAAUUUUCACAUACAAUCAUAGGAUUGUUGUGCAAGUUGGCAUGGUCUAGCACGGCCGUUCGAUAAGCCCAUGCAACAUAUGUGUGCAGCACGUCAGCAUGCUGUGCCAUGCCGAUGGCACACCAGCAUGGCCCAUGCGCAAUUCUUGCUUACAAUCUUCAUUCUUUAAUUAAAUUAUAAUCAAGUAAAAACAUCAGAUCAUAACAGAAUUACUUACGCCUGGAGUGGCAUGGUCAAGGCUCUUCUGGGCUUUUAAAAGAUCUGAUUUUAGCCUGUCAAUGUCAGCUGAAAGUUCUGUUUCUUCCUUCCAUAAAGACCUGGAAUAUUAUCAUUUCCUAUAAGCAUGUAAACCAGAAAUGUUUUGUUUAAGGAGAGCUUUUCACUACAUUAAGAAAGGUUCAUACUUCCUGAUGUCUUGCAGUUCAUCCCUCUGUCUCCUCAAACUACUAUACUCUUCUUGGCCUUUUGUUAUGAAUGAUUCUAUCUCUGUUGCUUUACCUCUUCGAUCCUCUAUAUACUUUUCCAGCUUAUGUUCCUCAUCUUUGAGCUUCUGAAUUUCAUCCUGAAGUAACGCUUCCUGAAGAUAUACAGAUGCAGAACCACAGAUUAGGAAGCAGACAUGUCAAGAAAAAUACUGCAGUCAACAUGCAGGUCAAUUAAUAUGAAAACUCAUAGCAGAGGGGCUCUCAACAUCCCUAAAGCACACCGAUUCCCAUAAUUACACUUCUGCACAACCUUAAAAUGAGACUAUCAAGAUGACUUAAAUUCUCUUCCUGCGAAAGCUAGCCUAGAGAUGUGCAAGGAUACUUAGCUGUUCCUCGCAUGGAAAAUUGAAGUUAAUCUGUUCGAUUUUUAAUAAGUUUACUUUAGAGAGAUGAAAAAGAUCCUCUAUAUUAACAAUAUGCAAUCUUCCCUUAGCUCUUCAAACAACCAGGAAAAGACCUGCUGUGGUAUAAUUUUACUUUCCUGAAUAGCUAGGAAACAUUUCUACACAAUUAUUACAAAUUAGUCAAUUAUAAAAAUUGAGGAAUUCUUUAAUUGAACCUUGCUGACCAAGUUUUGAUCUAGUUCAUCCCACAUUGCCAGAAAAAAGUAAUCAUAAUAGUGAUCGUUUGGAAUAUAUAACAGCAAAUAAGCCAUCUCUUAACUACGAUUACGAAGCAAGUUAACAGUGAAAUGAGGAACCUCUUAUUCCAUUUACAAUGGAGGAAAGCCAUUUAUACUACAGUUCUGUCCAAAAAGAAAAUUAAAAGCUAGUUGAGAUGACAAGUCGAGCACUGAGCAAGAUGCACUCAGAGAAUCAGCAUGAUUUUUUUUAGUCACCUGCUUCAUGUUUGAUGAAAGUACACGUUCAAGAUCAUCAAUUUCCUUUUGCAACCACUUAUCGCGAGCAGCUUUGCUCGCAAACUGGGUAGCCCGCCCUUGUUUCUGGUACAGAAUGCUCAGCUGCUUCUCACGAUCCAUUAUGCUACCACAAGAAAUUAAGCACCAUCAAAUCAAGGCCCCCUGAUAUAACAACAAAGAAACAGCAAGAAUAAUUGGAUACCUCUUAGCUAUUUCCUCCUCUUUAGCCACUUUUGCCUGGUGCACUGGCCGGAUUGAAUUAAGUUCAUCCCUGGAUUCUUGAAUCUCUCUCCUCAAGCUCUCCAACUGCUUUGCAGCUUCAUCCUGCUAGCCAGUUCCGUGAAUAAAUGAAAAAAGCAAAUUCACAUCAAAUAAGUUAAAACCAAUCAAACAAACCUUUGCUCGGACUUCCCCUGAAAUUCUUUCUUCUACAUCUCUCAAGUCCAGCUCAACCUGUGCAUGCACUUUUAAUGCCUCAGUUCGUUUCUUCUCGAUCCCCUCUUUCUUUUCUCUUAAAUCAUGCAUGCCUUUCGCUGAGCCUUUGAUUUCCUUCUCCAACGAUUUAAUCUUUUCACGAACAUCCACCACUUCAUUGUCGGCACUAGACAUCUUCUCAGAAAUUUUUUUCCUGUUCUCAUCUAUCUACAGCCAAGAAAUAAGUCAUCAAAUAUUAAUAAAUAUAUAGAAAAUUACAAGGCUGCUGUUGAUACAUAAAUUGUCCUCAUUUAAUCUCUUCUACAACUAACUUCAUUGAUAAUAAGACCAUCACAAAAUGAAACCAAUCACAUUUAGUUACAUGUUUCAUAAAUUGGUAGGAUCAGGAUUUGUGCUGCCAUAUCAAUGAUGUCAAGUAAGGAAGUUUGACCUGGUCUUUUCAAACCAACUAGACCCAUGGCCACCCCUCUUAGUCAACUACAUCCCUGGCUGCCCUAUUUGUCAAAAGGGAAGGGCGCUGUCUGCUGUCAAGCACUCUAUUACAGGAAUACCUAUGAACAGUGAUACAGCAUAUAUACCUACUCCAUGGACCUAGAAAAUGUGUACUGGAAGGUAUCUCAACUAGCCAAACAUGAAAGUGCAAAGGGAAAAAGGGAACAGCUACAUAAUAGCAAUAUGAUAGUGAGCAGAUUAAACUUUGCUAUAUAACUACUGCUAACCUCUGCCAAAUCCUUCCUAGCAUCAUUUAAUUCAUGGUCCAAAAUGGUAUACUCCAGAGACCUUCGCUGCUUGUCCAGCUGCUGAUACUUCCUCAGUUCUUCUUUCUCUUCGUCCAGUUCCCUUAAUCGCUCUUCCAAGUACUGAACAACUUGAUCUAUCUGCUUUCUCUUAUUACCUGCAAUAAAUGUUGUUUCAUGAUUGCCCAACCAUUACUGUGCGUGUGUAGAGCAUGUAGGGUGUUUUGAAUUUAUAAUGACAACUUGCCAGUUUCUUGCAUUAUUUUCAAGCUCUCACGCCGUCUUUCUUCAUAAACACGGGUCCCACCAAUCUCCUUAAGAAGAUCUAGACGCUCAGAGUCCUUCAUUAAGGUAAGGGAUGCUAUCUACAUAUGAUGACAAGCCAAACUCAUAAGAACCGAAGGUCUACUUGAGUAGCAAGGCAAAGAAAAUUGAAAAUUAACCAGCAAUAAAGCCAUUAACCUUCCCCUGCUGGACGACAUAGUAUGGAUUCGAGCGAGAGAAACCAGCACUUUCCAGCAAAUUCAUAACUUCAGUUUUGCUGAACAAGUUGACCAUUAAUCAAAAUUGGGUCAAGAACAGGAAAUUAUAUUACUACAUGGUUCUAGGGGAAAAGAACACUUUACGUGACAUGCUUUCCAUCCAAGAAAUACUCAUCCUUUUUCAAUGCAAUUGUACGGCGCAAGCGCACCUCCUCCUUAUCAACCUAUAUUAAGCAUGAGUUAAUACAAUAAGAACCUUAGCAGCCUAUAACCAGGCAAAAUAUAGAUCCACUAAAAUGACACAUAAGAUUAAUCAAUGUAGAAUAUCAUGUUUGUAACACGAAUUUAGAUUUAGAAUGAAUAUAUUACCAAUUAUCACAAUUUUCUGGUAGAUUUAAAAUUGUUGCCAUUUUAAGUAAUUCAUUGAUUAGACCAUCCAUUAACGGAAUCAAAUGUGCGUCAAGACAAAAUUCAUUACCGAAUAGUGUUAGAGAUGCCCUUGUUAUAGUUCAUUUGAUUAAUCAUGAGAGAUAUAAUUUUCACAAUCACAAUAAAAUCACCUACUAGUUUUGAAGACUUUCACAGACUAGCUAUAAUCAAAUUUGAGAGACAGAUUCUAUAUUUACUAGAUGAUAAUAUCUAAGCCAACAAAGUAAGCAGCCAAGAAAAGAGAAAUAGCUGAACUCGUAUCAACUGCAGAGCCCUGGUUAUGAAUAAUCAGUUCUAACUCGACCAGUAGAAGACUUACUGGAAUGCGAUUGUCCGAAUUGUCGAACACUAUCUCAACAAAAGCAGACACAACUUGAUGUCCGGCACCUUCCUGGUCAUUGUUUUCAAACAAAGGAAUAAUCAGAGUGAAAAAAUUACAAGGAUUCUUCAGCAAAGGAACCAAUCAGAAAAAUAGUAACAUACAUGGAGAAGGGCAUGCCUAUCUUCGCUGCGCAAAUUUUGAAAUAGAUCGCUGAGGACAAAUCUUAUAGCUGCAAAAGACAAAGUAUCAGAAAAAGAAGACAAGUGAUCAAGAAAGUGUACGAAUUCUUACCAAAUAAGCCUUAGAAAUUCAUAAGUCAAAAAAAAAUAAAUCUUUCUUUCAUUUUCUUUCUUGGUUGGAAAGUGAAAUUUGUAAACUUAAACUUACCAUGGAAAAAGUUCGUUUUUCCGGAUCCAUUGGCGCCAACUGUCAAAAGUUACAGAAGAUUGCUUAAUGCAAAUAGUCCAACAUUUAAUUAACACUCCGUAUGAAACAUCCAAAAAAUUACUUUUUCUACAUUUCCACCCUAAGCUUAGAAAAUUAAAAAGCUACCUUUUGCCUAUCUAUUUUUAAGUAUAUUCAGUUUUAGCAAUGACACUAGAACAGCUCGUUUAGUAGCAAAAUGUAGAGUUUGACCAAGAAAAUAUAACAUAGAUUUAUAUCCAUAAGUGCUCUUUACGGGAUGGGUGUGAUAUUUGCUAAAAGCAGUACUUGGCAUCAGAGUGCUUAAUGGCAAGGGCUAAAGGCACUUUCUAUAACUAUAUUUCAAUGUUCAUUCAUCAUAAAUUGCACAAAUGUAUGUAAUGAGGUGAUUCUUUUCAUUUCUCCAGAAAUCAUUUGUAUAUAAUAACUAGGAAAUGCUUAUUGAGUUUCGCAAAUAAUCAUUUUCAAAUUUAAAAAAUUCUACAACGUUGUACUGUUCCACCAGAUGCAUCUGUUCUUUGUAAUAAGAGUGCAAGAACUCAAAAAACAUGCACAUCCAAAGCAUUCAAUCAUUUAAAUGCUCCUAUUUUUCUGAAGAACGAUAGCAAACAUGCUUAACAUGCUCUUCUAGAACCAAGAAAGUACUAGUACAAUCAAGAGAUCAUGUAUUAAUGCAUAAAGCAAGGAAAAUCUUGAACAGCGGUAAGAUAAAGGAUAAUCAGAAAGAAAAUUACCAACGCAAUUUACUUUGGGGCUGAAGGGGUCUGUAGAAACUUCUUCUUUGUAGCUCUUAAACCCUUCAAUUAUAACCUGCUCAAGAACAAAUUCAGCAAAAACAGCAAAAGAGAAAAAGAAUCCGGGAGAAAUCCUAACAUGUAAAGGAUAAAUCACCUUCUUUAUAUACAUCGUUGAAACAGUUAUAAAACACCAUCCAAGACCUUCAAAAAGCAAGAAAAGAAACAGAGUCAACACCACGACCCUGAAAUCUCACAAUCGACAGCACAAAUCAAACCGUAGCUAGUAGCAACCAAUGGUGAACCAAUUUCCCCGAGGAGAUCAAGAGGCAAAUACGAGAGUUAGGGUUUCCCCGCGUCGCUAGUAAGGAGGGAAUUAGGGUAAGGGUGAGAAUUAAAACCCUAGAUUAGGGAGAGAUUGGUGGAGGAGGAGAUGGAGAAAACUAACCCUAGCGAUCGAUGCGUAGAGGUGAGCGCGACGACCUUCGUGGAGAGAGAGAGAGGAGAGAGAAAGAGAGAGAAAGAGGAGGGGAGAGGGCGAAACGAGGAGAUGACUAAAAAAACGAAGAGCGGGAAAGGGUAAAGAGAGGGAGCGCGAGGAGGAGAGAGAAAAAGAGAGAGAGAGAGAGAGAGAGAGAGAGAGGGGGUUAAAGCGUGCGGAGGAAGACGUUGGGGGUGUAGAGAGAGAGAGAGAGAGGGAGACAGUGGAGUGAACUCAGCUGCUCCAUACGGACACGUGUGGGCUAGAAUCCACCGUCCAACUGAGGAAUACAGUUGAUCUCUGCCGUCCACAAGUGGAGUGGCAUUGAUGGACGUUGGAUCACAUCCCUUCCAACUGUGUUAUAUUUGCACCACAUCUCCAAUAACAAAUCAACUGCAUCUCUUAUUUUUAAAAAAUAGCACAAUAAUAAAAGUAUAUUUUAUAUAUAAUCAUAAUGGGUGGAUAAAUUCAAAUUUAAUUAAUUGGGAAUAGUUAAAAACAUCACAUCAUUAAUAAUAAGUUAAUUAUACUUAAUAAAAUAAUAUAAUAAAAAUAUAUUUUAUAAUCAUAAUAGAAUAGAUAAAUUUAUUUAAAUUUAAUUACUCGACACAGAUAUAACUGAUAGAUUCUAGAAUUUUUUUCUUGGCAACACGCCAGGAUCCGGAAUUUGCCGGACAGAAAUAGGGAUGCAAACGGGGCGGAUCCGGGGGAGGGAGAGUUCCCCCACCUCCCGCUCCAUUUCUUAUCGGGGCGGGGUGGAUUCGGGGCGGGUUACUUUUCAUUUUAUUUUUGGCUCCCACUUAUCGCUCCAUUCGGGGCAGAUCGGGGCGGGAGUCGGAUUUUUGACGGAUCGGGACAGAUUGAAGGAAGAAAAGAAUCUCCCACCUCCCGCUCCAUUUACUUGGCGGAUCGGGGCGGAUUCGGGACAGAUUAUAUUUUUUUAUAUUUUUUGUUCCCACUUACCACCCAUUCGGGGCGGAUCGGAGCGGAGCUCCGCCAACCCGGAUCCAUUUGCAUUCCUAGACAGGAUCAUGGAGCCCCCGUUUCGUGGGGACCUGCGCAGCCCACAGGCAUGAGUUUAUCUCACGAGACUUCAAGCCAGAGGAGCUUCGAAAUCGAGCUCAGCCGUACGGCCAGAACUCCCCGGCUUUGACGCGGCGUAGUUUUGAAUUACCAAACACCCCAAGAUUAGGCUUCAUAUGAUUUAACAUAUUUUGUUUUUACAAUUUGCUAAUUUGAAAAUUUUUAUCUUAUUACUCAGUUAUUUUAUCUUUGUUUUAUUAUGUAAAUUUGCCAUUGAAUAAAAUAGCAAAAUAAUACAUCCUACAAUCCACGUAAUGACUAAAUAGUACGACGAUACAUUCUACAAACCACAUAAUAACUAAAUUUAUAGACUAGUAAAGUACUAGAUUUUCUUAUGAUUUGCAAAAUAUAUCAUUAUGAAUAUUUUAUAAUACUCUGCUCAAUGACCACUCCGUGAUGGAAAAAAAUAAUAAUAAUUUAAAAAAAGGCACAAUAAGUGAAGCUUCCUAAAACGCCGCGAAAGGGAGGAACCAAAGCAGCGGAAAUAUAGAAAAACAGAUUUACACGCACAUACUAAAUAACGGAAAAAUUCCAAUGCACAUUUGCUAAUACCUAAUAAAUAACGUAAAUAAAUACUAAUAUUUGUUUAUUCAGAUUAAAAAAUUUUACAAGCUUAGUAUGGCAUAACAACAACUAUGAGAGCAAGAUCCUCUGGGCAUGAAACCUACUUGGUCGAGACACCGUUUGUAAAUGCCAACUGACAUACCAAGGCAAUGUGAUCACUUCCCCAUUUCUGCAACACGUAAAAAUUUCUUUUUCAAAGAAAUGCAGUCAACGUAGAUAAGGAGCUAAUUCUACCACAAAGCAUAAAAGAAAUAAAGCUGUAUUAAAAAUCAUUAAUCGGUGGGUAGUUCAUGAUGACUAUACUUGAAACUUUUUUGCUUCACAAGCCAUGCACGCAUUGAACGGUCUAUGGCCGUUACCUUGGUAGGGAAACCGCUCGUUUGCUGCAAAAUAUGUGUGGGGAUUGUGUCGAGUACUUUAACGGUUUGCAGAUCUUCCGUACACCUUGAAUUCAUUAAACGUAAUUAGCAAAAGAUACUGACCACAGUUAAGAAUAGAAUAAAGAUACAGCAAUGGAAGCCGAAGCCAAUGUUUCAGUUGAGAGAAGGGAGUAGGAAAAUAUGAUAAUUUGAUGUUCGUUGCUACAGGCAUAAAUAGAACUUGUAGACGCAGCUUCAUUUCCAAAAAACCAACGGCGCAGCUAAGGGCGUUGAUGAUUUAGAUCCAAAAAUUUUCUGUUGCUAGUAAGAUUGAGCAAAACAUAACUUACCAUAUAUAAUCGACGGUGCCCAUGAAUUGUGUGUUAUAGCUAGUGACUUGGGGUUCUCUACUGGAAUCUUUUGUCCCAGCAUAAUCCUGCCAAGAUGAGAAAUGGUAAGUCCAAAAAAUUGUCUUAAUCAUAUCUGAGUUCCAGUUCCACAUUACCAUGCUCCAAAUAAAACCUGCACCAUGUUUGCUUUGCCAAGUAGCAGCAACAUCUUAUUCACAUCGUAAUUUAGGUAUUUGUCACUCAUGUGCUUGCGUGCGAUCAUGUGCAUGUGCUUAUCCUUAAGUUGCUACUUUUAAGCUCUAUGUACUUUUAAGCUUUAUGUAACCUUUUAAAGGUGAAACUUUGUGCUUGUAUAGUGUAAUAUAGUAGCAAAUAAAUGGCAUUUUUUUUACAUCUUAUUGUAAAAAAUUAAUGAGAUGCAAAAUAUAAAACUCAAUUGCAAUUGAACAAUCAGACCAACUUUCACAAUCUAAAUGACAAUAAACUGGGCAUGUUAAUAAAAAAAGAAUAUUAAAAAGAAAGUAAAAUGCGAAAGCGGGUCAGAAAUUCAACAUGCUAAAAUCAUGCAGUCCGCAGCAAAUUCAUAACCAACUGCUCUCUUCAAAAGUAAAACAGUAACAUCAUGUACCUCAACAUCUGUAUAUGUGCUCCGUAACUUCAACCUGUGUUUGAUCGAGGUACAUUCUUCAUUUCCAGAUGCAGCUUUAAUUUCCAUUGGGGUCCAGAAGUAAGGGUUAUAAAUAUGCCUCUCUCGAUCAGCGCCAGAGGGGCAUGUAUCAUGUAAGGUAUCUCCCUGAAUCUCAACAAAUGAUGAAUCAUGUAAGGUAUCUUCCUCAGAUCCAAGAAGCUCUUUAAAAAAGUUUGGAUCAGAAUUCUCAUCUGAACCAGAUAUAUUGUUACUUCCAGAAGGUUCACAGGUUUCGUCAUAAUCCAAUUGUUUAGGAUCAUUCAGAACAGCAUUAUCUUGAACAGUCUUCAAAUCGUCCAACAAUGAGAAAGUGCCAUGGCAUCCAGAGGAGCUUGGAUCCUCUAUUUUAGUCUUGUUCUCGUCCCCAACAGAUAGAUCGGAAAACUUCAUCAGUAAAUCACCAGAAUCAGAUAACUCUAAUUUGUUAUCUUCGCAAAUUAUUCGUUGUAACAUAAUGGGUUCUUCCUUUAUGGGUACUUCCUUUUCCUUCUCAACAGCUAAAUUGCUUGAUGUCUUCUCUAUGAUAUCUUGAGGAUAUAACUGACCAUCAGUAGGGUUGUUUGGUACCGUGUUGAAUGAAGAACUGACAUUGCUGCUUUGGGAAGCUGAAGUCCAAGAGGGAGUGGCAAGUUCGUUUGGUAUUUCACUACCAGUUGAAAGUUCGUUUGGUAUUUCACUACCAGUUGAGUCUUUCUUUGCACCUCUUAAAGUUGUAGUGCUAUCUACAGCUUCCAAUGGAUAAAUGAAUUGGUGGUAUUCACCGUUCUUUGGAGAAAAACACAAAUCAGAAUUAGUUUUAUCGGGUUCCAUAGUUGGAAUAGAUGAAAUGGCUUUUUCUUCAAGCUCGCUGUUGGAUGAAACUUCAAAGUAAUGUUCAUCCGAAUUAGACUCCGUAGGUUGACCAUUUGAUAACUCAGCUUCAUCUUUUUGAAAGGGAUCGGUCAUUUCUGUCAAACUUGCAUUUUCCAUCUCAACUUGAGGUUUUAAAUUAUUGCAAUUGUCGGUACCUCCCCCAGCACUUAUUUCUUUGUCAUUGGAAUUAUCAGUUGGCGGACGAGAGCUGCAACAUCAAUAUCAAAAUUCACACACACACACACACACACACACACACUACAUACAUACAUACAUACAUAUAUAUAUAUAACGCUCUUUUUGCUAUCAAGUUUUUAACCCUUGGAUGAAAAAUUGUAGGGUCAGGAUGAUAUUAGUCGGUUAGAGUUAAGUGGUCCCCCUAGGAUUGAGUGGUCCCCACUGGGUUAUAGUAUUUAAUCCAAUGGUUAGAAAUAAUGAAAAGAGUUGAUCCAAAGGCUAAAAAACUGGUAGCAACAAUAGGAUUUUGCUACUAAUAGUAGCCCAGUCCAACUAUAUAUAUAUAUAUAUAUAUAGAAUUAUGCUACUAUACUAUCAAUAGUACCCAGCCCUUGGUACUAUUGAGUUUUCGGCCGUUGGAUGAAAGGAUGUACGUUUAGGAUGAUAGUGGUCCCGGGUUAAAUUGAUAGUUGUCCCCUAGGGUUGAGUGGGUAGUUGGUUUAAUAGUAUAAUCUAACGGGUGGAAAUGAUCAAAGAGCAGAUCUAAUGGUAGAAAACUCAAUAGUAUCAAGGGCUUGCUACUAUCGAUAGUAUAGUAGCCGGACUAUAUAUAUAUAUAUAUAUGUAUAUGUAUAUACAUAUAUAUAUAUAUAUAUGUAUGUAGAACUAGGCUGGAAUACUAUCAAUAGUACCAAACUGUUGGUGCUAUUACUUUUUUAGCCCUUGAAUUGAGAAAUAUGCGGUUAGGAUGAUGUGGGCCCCCUAGGGUUGAGUGGGUGGUUGAUUGAAUAGUAUAAUCUAUAGGGUAAAAAUAAUCAAAGGGUUAAAUCUAACAGUGGACAACUCAAUAGCACCAAGGAUAUAUAGAUAUAGAUAUAUGUAUAUAUGUACAUAUAUAUAUAUAUAUAUAUAUAUAUAUAUAUAUAUAGAGUGCGUCUGGGGUGCUUUCGGAAGCACGGAGCGCUCCGUGCUUCCACUUUGUUUUCGAUGUUGGGACUUUCAAAUCGACGAUCGGCUCCGUUAGACUUGAUCUAGAGUAUUUGAAGUAUCUAGAAAAUAAAUUUUGCGAUUUUUCGAUAUCAUUUGCCGAGUGAUCGAAGUGGCUCAAAAUCAACGGCUGAAAAUAAAAAUCUCACAAAAUAUGAUGAUAUGACAUUAAAAUUUUAGAUCAAAGUUAUUGAUCUUGUUUUAUAUGGUAUAAAGAAUUUUCUAUCAAAAUUUCACGUGAUUUGGAUAUUUCUACACCGUUAAACUUGCAACCGGCUCACCACGGCCGUUAAAAUUAUUGAUUUUGAGCCCCUUCGAUCACUAGGCAAAUGAUAUCGAAAAAUCGCAAAAUUUAAUUUCUUGGUACUUUAAAUACUCUAGAUCAACUCUAACGGAGCCGAUCGUCGAUUCGAAAGUCCGAACAUCGAAAACAAAGUGGAAGCACGGAGGCCUCCGUGCUUACGAAAGCAUACCAGCCCACUCUAUAUAUAUAUAUAUAUGUACAUAUAUGUACAUAUAUGUACAUAUAUAUAUAUAUAUAUAUAUAUAUAUAUAGAUAUAGAUAUAUGUAUAUGUACAUGUAUCAUAAAGAACAGAACUUACUUGGACAAAUUAGAGCUAGGAUAUAUUCUUCGUUGACUAAUAUAAGAAGAAUGUUGUCCAGAUAUAUCAUUGCGAGCAAGUCCAGCCAAGUUUAACUACAUAGUUGGAAUAUCUCAGGAAAAAAGAUCAACUAUAAGCCCCCUGAAAACUUGCAACUUCUUAAGAUGUAAUACAGCAAAAAAAAAUGCAAUACCUUUUGCUCUGAUAUGAAAUUGUACAGCGGGCUCUGAAUGGAGAAGGAACAUGUCAAAUAAAGGGUAAAGGGUCUCUAUAAGUAAAUGUGUAAAGAUAUAUAUAGAAUACAAACAUUUAUUUAGUCCAUGUACAAACAAACAGAGAAAGUGAAGAAACACUACUGACUAAAGUAAGGGAACAAAAAACUGACCUUAGGUGUACAGUUGAAAUCACCACAAAUAAUAACUGGAGCAUCAUUCCACAUCUUAGAAACUGUAUAAGCUCGCUCAAAGAGAGUCCUUACCUGUAAAAGACUGAAAUUAGCAACAUUAUAUGCAGCUGGUAUACUUGCUAAAAUACUAUGACAUAGAGAUUCUGGCAGCAAGAUACAGGGAAGGCAACAUCACAACUGUUGCUAGGAGAGCAUCAAACAAAACAUCGAAGUAACACAAUCCCUACAAUUGAAAAGAACACUAAUUGAUGGUCUAACCAAAUACAAGGUAAUGUAAAAUUAAUGCUGACUAGUAGAGAAAGUAUGAAUUCAUGGUAUGAAGACAAGAUUCGAAUUCAAGCCAUAGAUCUUCAUUUCAACACUUUCGGGUCAUUUCAAUUGUUUUGGCAUAAGUCUGAGACUGAGUAGGCUAGAAAAAGAGAAAAGAUAUAAAAAUAUUUUAGCAAAUAAUUUACAAAUGAAAUAACUCUAUGCUGUUUGGAUAUGCUCUUAUGAUGCGUCACCAAAUUGCUUAAAAAUAAAGAAAAAUUCAUAUAGGUCAAGAGACCAACAUUUUAUACGAACAAAAAAUGUUUGGCCUGGGAAGUACGCAUACCUGACCAAGUUUGAUUUCUCCCCUCUUCGGAUUGUAAAGAACAUGAAUGUUACAUAUAACAAGGUGGUUAGCUUGUCUUGAUUGAUCAGAGCUGGGGAGUUAAAAAAAAAACUGUAUGUAAGCAUCCAUAUAAUUGUCCAAUUUAUGAUGAUGUGCCAAAGAAAUAACAGAUAGCAAUCAUAAAAAUACAAUAUAGUGAGUCGCAUCUGAGAAAUGCAAAAAAGAAAUUAUGCCAAAAAAUGACUCCUGUGCGACUAACAUUGAAAAUUAAAUUUUAAUACAAAAAGCAUAGGAGUAAAAAUGCUCAUGCAUGAUUCAGAAAUGCAGCAUAGCUAGCUGCUAAGUUCUAUAAAAUCAGAAUUACUAUUUUUACUGAUAAUAGGUUCUAAUAACAGAAAGCACAUACUGGGUCUAGACAAAGGAAAGAAUGUUCAAGAAGAAAUCUCAAGUACCUCUCAAGAAUAGAUUCAGACUUGCUUCCAACAAGGCCUUUAUUCACUGACUGGCAAAGAAAAAGAUGGUCGUUAUACAGAUAUAAGAAUUAAAAAAAUAUUACAUUAACCAUGGAUAAACCAUACCUCCAACAGAAAACAAAUUAUAAGUGGUAUAUCAAAUAAAUUAAUUGGGCAAAUGGAUCAUCCAUACCUCCAAAACACAAAUCUGAGCAACAUUAUCUCGAAGUCCAAGUUCACUAAAUUCAAUUUGCCCUUCAUACCGCAAUUGGAACCUGAUGUAAUAACAAAGAGUCAAAACUAAAAUUUAAUAUAGCCCAAAAUUAGAGCUCAACGUACCAAAAGUCAUGUUUAAGAUGUUGACCAGUUACAAUGUCACAAUGUUCAAGGUUGGUAUAUCUUGGAAACACAAAUUCAAGCAACAUGAAUAAGAAAAGAAAUUUAAAAAUUCUAAGGGUUGACACAUUACCCGACCUGAUUUCACUCUAUACUUUUUUCUAACUGUUCCCCAUUUUCUUACUCUUUCAAAACAAAAUGCCCAACCAGUUUUCUGAAAUUGGAGUAUCCUAUUUUACCUUUGUGCUUCUUUAAAGAAUUCUUGGUUGAACAGUCACUAAAAAAUCAAACUUAAGAGGGGCUGAAACAUUAGAUAGUCUACUGAUCACUUGUCAACAAAAUAGGCCACAAAUAAUUGAUACCUGUGAGUUCAUGGUUUACGUAUAAAUGCAUAUUUCUUUGAAAACCUUAAUUUACUAAGAGAAAUGAUUGUUUACAUGCUUUUGCCACUUUGUUGGAAAUUUAUUGCCUUGUAAAAUGAUAUACCACUUACAGUAAUUUUGGGGAAUUAAUAGUUGACUUCCUUAAUAUUGUAUAACUAGUCCAUUUAAAAAAGAAAAUUCAAGUGCCCAUACUCCAUAUUUCCCUGCUAAAUUAUUGUACUUUCAAUGAAAAAUUUACUCAAAACUACUGAAACAAAUCCGCAUUAGAACAUUGACAGCAUGGAGAAAGAACUCCAUUUAUUUUAUCAAAAACUGUUAUAUUGGUUAUGGACAAGUGCCAUCACGAGAUACAUAACUCAACCUCAAAUAUUUCAAAACAUUACACUGACGUGCCUACCUAUUUGUUCGCCAAAAGACAGCACAUCCAUCAACAGCAUUUCCUGUGCGCAUCUGCAUAAUCAAUUUAACCACAUUACAAGCAGAAGCAGAGGUAGUAGAGUAUUUUGGUUUGUCAUAGUGGAGUGUUCCUGGCAGAUAUGUGAUUUCUGAUAGUGUAGCACUAGAAUAUAAACUCUACACAGGAACUAAUAAGGAAAGAAAAAUAUGGCAUGCAAAAUCUGUCCUCAGUUAUGGAAAAUCUUCUCAUGUACAAGUGCUGUCCACUACAUACUGAUAUAUAAAUUACUUAAAUACCUGAAAGUAACAAAAUAUAUGGAAAAAAAAAGAGCAAACGAAUCCCAAAAUUACCUUCCAUAAACCAUUAUAUCCUCGGAUAGCCAAUUCUUCUUGUAGAUCAUGAAAUUUGUCGACCUCCUAAAAGUGGAACUGCAAAGGAAUUAUUACUGUAUAAAAGAACAAUGGGUACUCAUAGAGGAAAGUAGCACAGGGAGUCGAAGAUCAAGCCAACUAGCAUCUGUUGGUAAAGAAAUCAACAUUAUAUCAAGCUAGGCAACAAAUGUAGAUAAUUAACGAAAACCAAUAUGAAUAAAUGAAAAGUCUAUUCUAAUUUCAUAAAAAAUAAAGGGAGAUACUCGAAAUAAUAUGGCCAUAGAAGAAUAGGAUAAAAAAUAUAAACUCUCAGGGCGAAUAAACGAAAGGAAAAUUUUCCCUUUAUUUGUCCAUUUUUACAGGGAGAGCUUGCCUGAGCUGCCUCAAUUUCCUUUUAAGUAUUAACUUGAGUCACCACUUUUCUCUCAAAAAGCUUGAGUCGCCACUUUUCUCUCAAAAAACUUGAGUCGCCACUUUUCUCUCAAAAAACUUGAGUCGCCACUUCAUAUUAUGCCUUCCACUUGCUUCCAAAAACAUUGCUCAAAUUCCUUCAUUAUAAUAGCAGAUCUACUACCACAUAAACUUGGUCCUUGUUAUACAGAUUUUCCCUUGUUCUAAUCACCUUAUCAAAAUUAUCAACCAACCAAAAAUAACUUCAUAAGACCAACCAAAAAUAACUUCAUAAGACAGCAUUUCGGAAGUUAAUAAAAAUUAAGUCACAUUCCUCAAAUCAAAACUUAGAUACACGCAAUCCUCCAGACAAAGUAAAUAGGUUUUCCUACCACACAGUAUGAGAUAGUCUGCAUUAUCAGACAGUUAGAGGUUUGCAUACAAAUCAACCAACAUGACUUGCUACUGCAAAUUGUGUAGCUAAAAUUUCCUAACAAAGGAACACCAUUGGAUAUUUGGAUUAGCUGUGUGCUUACAAGACAGAGAAAUAGCAACAUAUGCAAGAUAACUGCUCCCACUUAUAGACAGAAUGAAGUGGAAGGAUUUAAAACAUCUUAGGAAUACGUCAUCAUGAUUGUACAAAGGUUACCUGAAGACAGAUUAUGUCAGGAGCCCACAAUCCAAACUCGAACAGUAUCCUUUUCUUUCGCCACUCCCAAUCCAAAAUAAAACCAGGUAUAUGAAAGUAAAGUUUGGACUGAUGGUCUCUAGCUAGGUAGUCAGCAAGAAUGUUGUAGGACAGUACUACAAACCGCUCUGAGAAAUUGCAAAAGUUAAAAAGUAAAAGAACUAGCUAUGGUAAAUCAAAACCAAAAUGAUAGCAUAACUUAUGAAAGAAAUGUAGAAUUUAUUAUCAAAGCAUGGGAUUUUUCAGUCCAGAUACAAAAGUGAUUUGGUACACAAGAUGAUUCCAAAUAUGAAGCUCAAGGAAUGAAAAAAAGGUACUACUAUGCUUCUUGUUGAAGAUCAACUCUGAAGAAGAUCUGAAGAUUAAAAAAUACAAUAUCAGUUAAGAUACUAUCUAAAUAGCUUUUCUCCUUAAGCCCUUCCCUGGGUAUUGACCCUCUAUCAUUUACACACCAAGUGACACACUAUGCAUCAUAAUUUCACCGCAUUUGCAUUACAGAUCAGAUGGAAAAGUAUAGGUAUUUUCAAUUUGCACAUACCCCAAAACAAAAAAAAAAGAAAAGAAAAGAAUACAUUUGAAAAUUGGAACUCAAAAAUUAUCUUUCUGAUUUGUAAUUGUUUUCCGAAAUGUAAAUCCAAAAACUAUGAAAUACCAUUUCUUCCUAAAUUUCUCAACAUAUGCAUAAUAAUCAAAUAGUGAUGACUAUGUUAGACAUUUAAAACUUGUGAUUAUCUGCUGGGUCGAUAAUAUACAUGGAGUUGCAGAAAGAUCACUCUAAUUGCUAACCGGUACGCCAUUAAUAGUGACUAAUUAGUGAUGACAUGCAGUACAUGUACACAAAGACUGAAACAUAAUGAAGUGAUUUAAACAUAUUUUCAGCUUCUCAUUAGAAACUAAAAGAAGAGAAAGGAAAGAAGCAAAAUACUCCACACUCUUCAAAAUCCAGUAGCAUUACCAGAUUGAGGUGGCGGCUGCAAAGGAGCGAAUCUCCACUCGCGGCGAUAAUCUGCAAGCCUAGGCUGCGGCAUCUGGGGCCUGCCCACCUGAGGUGGACCGUACAACGGUGGAGGAUGACUAAUGCUCGGCGGAAAGGCUCCAUAACCAGGCGGAAAAGAGCCGUAGGGUAGCGGCGGAGGACCAAAUCCAGGAGGAGGAUGAGGAGGCGGAGGGCCUAGUCCCAUUGGAGGACCAUAAUACCGCGCAGUAGGACCAUGCCCGGGAGGCGGAGCACCGUAGGGUGGCGGCGGCGGAGGACCCGACCACGGCGGAGGAGGGCGAUACGGCGGCGGCCGUACGCCGCCGCCGUUGCCCCGCCGGAGCUCGUAGUUCACGUCCCUCACGGCUCUGAUGUGCGAGUCGCCGCUGACGAACGCGCCGCCCUCGCCGCCGCCGCCCUCCGCCGCCGCAGGCGGCGGUGGUGGCGGAGCCCGGUCGCUGUAGCCUCGACGCCAUGAGUCCCUUCCUCGAGCCUGCGGAUAAGAGAGAAAAUGAUCGAAGAAACGGGGUCAGGGAUAGGGGUAGGGUUUCGGGAGGGACAAUGGGAAGUGGGGCAUCGCACUCUGAAGCGGGACGAAGAGGACAUCGCGGCAUUGGCGGUGGAGUCGGCGAUGGAGUGGAGCGAGGGAGGAGCGAAUCGCAUGGGGAGGGUUAGGGUUUUCGAGGGGAGGAGGAGGUGGAGAGGAGACGCAUCGCCCUGGUUGACGAGCGGCGACGCUGCAGCGGGUAAAAGCCACCGAGUUUCGGCGGCGAGCGGCGCGGGUUCUACUUUUAUCUGGAAGGAAACUGGACCGGGGAGGGGAGAAGCGGAUAAAGUGAACCGGAGUUACGAAAGCGAUCCAACCGGUCGGACCGGCCAUAAGGCCCAUAACGUUGUCUCUUUUCUUUCUUUUCUUUGUUUUUUUUUUAUAUCACAUAUUUGAGUCAUGAAUCAUUUUGGUUCGUUACCCAACCUAUUAAAAUCUUAAUUUUACUACCUAACCUUUCAAUUUAUUUAUUUUAAAUCAAUCAAUAAUAUUUUAACUUCAAAUUUUAAACACGCCAUUUAUUUUUAUAUAUUUAAUUAGCACAUUUUAUAUAAUUAUCGCAAACUAUAAAGUCAUUAUAAUAAAUAAUUAAGUUAAAUUUUAAAAUCAAAGUAUAGUUGACUAAUUCAAAUUAAACAAACUAAAAGAUCAAAUAAUAAAAUUAAAAUUUUUAAAAAUUAGAUAGUCAAUUCAAAAUAGUAAUUCAAAAUAGUUUAUAAUUCUGGUGAAGUAAAAACAAGUAAUCUCUAAGCUUAAAGCUUGCUGCAUCUUAUGUCGCUUAUGCAGUGGUUGGUAAACAAGCCUAUAUAAUAUUUUUGAUCGACAACAACUGAAGAAAUUCUCUUCAAAUACGUUUGAUGUUCGCAAUGGAAUAGCAGUACUUAACACAAAGAACUCUUUAAACAAAGAAUGCUUUACAGUAGUAUACACCAAAUAUUGUUGGAUCAAUUGAAGAGAAAAAAGCAAAGGGAAGUAUCAAUCUUUUAUAUUUUCGGCAAUCAUAUAUCAGUCUUUAGGAGUAGCCUUCCAUCAUGAUAUAUACGAAGCCGCUUGAUGUCGAUGUCCUCCUGUAGAGAAAAACGAUAUCGAAAGUUAAUCAUAAAAAAAGGACAAAUAACCAAUUUUCAGAGUUUCGCAUGCUACCCAGGUUUAUUUCUCAAUUGCAGGAUCGAACGAUGCAAAGUGACAUUGGAAUCCUCUUUUUAUUUUUCGACAUUUCGCGGUUACUAGUUGAGGUUGGACCAAGUUAGUUAUAUCUAAACGAAAACUCCGCCUAUUUGCAGAUAAAAGCUGCUAAUUUGUUCAGCAUCAACAAAGGAAAGAGGACUUCACAUAAGAAGCUUCUAUCAUACGCCUUACUUAUCAAACAGCUCUAUUAUCGAAAGUUGCUUCUUUCUGUUGCAAAAGCCAAAAAGAAGCAUUUGGGUCCAACCGAGGACAAGUUGUUGGGCCCCAAAGCAGAAGCUCGAAUUGAAGUUCUGCUUUCAGCUGUAAGAGAAGCUUUGGCAACUGCCAUGAGAAAGUCGUCAAGGUUUCUUCGAACGGCUUUAGACAGCCCUUUUAUAGAAGAUCCAGCAGGGCCAAACUGACCCUUGGAUUGAUCAUCCAUGCUUACCUCUUGUAGUAAGUGUAGCCUGCAAAGGCAAUCCCUCCAACAGCCACAAGCCCUAGAAGAACGAUCAAUGCAAUGAACCAACCAGAUACUCCCCUUUUCUCGUAAUUGGUUGAUUCACUGAUGCUGAAGUCAACACAUCUCUGCAGAUUACAUGCUUCUUGUCUAGGAGGCUGCAGCAAGAUCAAAGCAACAAUAUUAUUUUAUGCAUUGCAGAAGAAUCUGGAUGCUGGGGAUCAUGCAAGUAUGCAACAUAACGUGAAGCCUUGCCGCAACAGAAAAUAUCCAAAAUUGGGGUUACCAUUUCGGAAAAAUCCUUUUCAUUUCAAAAGACCAAUUUCUUGGGUCUCAAAAAUUUGUGGGUUCAAAAAGGGAGGAGAGCGUCAAAAUGAAAAAAAUGAUCACAUCUCUGUCAAACAUCUUAAUUUUUUCUAAUUUUGCCUAGUGAGUCCAUAGAUCGAGUCUUGAAAAUUCAGUUUAUCAGUCGCAGAAAAUCCACAAUAGUGAGUAUGAGAGAAGGCCCUGAAGAAAAAUGAAUACAUUGACCUAACAAAAUACUGGAAUUGUUUAACUCACCAUGUCUUUCAAAGAACAUCGAGCAUCAUCAACAGGAUACUGCUUGACUGAUGUGCCAGCAGUACUUCCAAAACAAGCCACAUCUCGAUAACGCACCCCGCCGUCACAAGGAGCGGAACACUUCAUCCAUGGCCCAGAAACCCACUUAAAAGUCUCUACAUGUAUGAAGAUGAAACUGAAUCAGAAGCUAGCGAUUUCAUGCCAAAAAGGGAUCUUACAUAUAUAUCCCUGCAAAAUCAUCUAUUAAUAUUGAUAAUCCUGAAAAUUCUUAGCUAUCACAUAUACCCAUCAAAAGUGCAGUUUCUUAUAAAAUUAUACUCGUCUUAAAUUGAGAAGAGUCAUCCAAUACUGAGGCAAAUUGGUUUGGUAUGAGAUAAGUAAUUCUAAAAGGGCAUUUCGUAUGUAAACACAUAGACAUGCAAGAAAUUAACUUUUUCCACGGCAUAUAUGAAAAUUCAGAUUUUGCAGAGGCAUAUAUGUGAAUUGAUUAUCACCAAAAAGGAAUUCUUAAAGUGUCUUUCAUAGAAGAAUAUCUCCUUUGGUGGAAAUCCAUAGAAAAAAUUUCAAAAUGGUAACAUUGGCUAAAUGCAGUCCAACUCAAAACUGAAAGAUUUCUUGCCGUUUUUUCUCAUCAGGAGAAUGAAAUUUUGAGUGUGAUACUAGCAAGAGGACAAGAAGCUCAAUUAUGACCUUGUGGUUUUAACUGCAUGGCCAGCUGUGCACCAGACUUACAAUAACCCAAUUUACUUGCUUUGUCCAUAAUAUACGGUUCUGAACAGUCCGUGCAACAUAUGUACUCUUCUCCAAAGUCCAACUUGUUGUUGCACCUUCCACACCUGUUUGUUACCUUUGGUGUUUCUGUUCUUGAGGAAGCAAAAGCCAUAUUGUAAAAUAAAAGAAGUUCAUCACUAAUAGACUUACUUUUUAAAAAAUAUUCACCACUUUCAACAAUGGUAAGCGAAUUACAAUAAUGAAUUAGUUUACAUAGACAUGCUUUCAAUUGAGUACAACAGUCAUGCACACAAUAUAAAACUUCAUUAGGCUUCACAGCAUUAUAACUGGCUAAUGGACUGCAACUUUUACAGCUCUGAAGCAAUCUAAUUUACUUCCAGUGUGAUGAACUGAAGAAAUCUAAUAUUUAGGCAUUACACUAAAGCUGAUAAAAUCAGGCUUUGGCAUGCAUAUUGAGAGGUGCCUUUUCGAGAAUUGUAAAAACAAGCAGUGCAUGCACAUAUUUAACUUUUGAUAAUAAUAUUUUAAUAUUUACAAGAUGUGCCAUGUGGUAAAAUUACACAAGAUCCACAAACACCUGACUUUGCAAAUUAUUCUAGCAAUUUGUCAGUUUCUUCAGUGAAAAAGAAUUAAAUGAAGUGAGAAGACCUAUUGAAUGUGUUCUUGUUUUGGUGAAAGAAAGCUAUGUGCUAAAAAACCUCAGCCAACCGAAGACAGGAAAACUUAUACAGGAAGAGUCCCAACCAGGGAGUCGAAUCACACCUAGAACCCGAAACCCCAAUUCAUCUCAUUGAUGGCUCAAACUUUAAUAAGUGGUUUGAUCAAUUUCUACUAUCAGCUUUCAUCAAUAAGAGUAAAUGAAAGUUUGAUUUGUUGUGAUAGUCUCUUGAAGCAACAUUUAAUUUGUCAACAUAAGCAAGAAGUUACUGUAACCAAUGUUUGCACGUCAAUUUUAUUAAAACAGAACUGUUUUUGCAAGUUCAUAUAUAAACCUUGGACAUAUACGAAGUUCAAGCAGCACUCUAGAAACCCACAUAUGGAAGUCAUAGGAAUAACACAGCAGCAUUCUAGACUCUCACAGAUGGAAGGUGACUGUAACCUGUAGAACUUGACAGGAUUGAUUAAUGAAAUCUGAGCUAUCAAUUAGGACAAAUUGAAGUUUAGGGACCACAGUGAAAUACACUUCACAGCUUGGGGACUUCCUUACAUAAUAUGCCCUUUUGCUUGUCAAGCACUGUAUUUACAAUAUUCAAAUUAUCUCAUCUCCCAGUGCAAAGAAAACAUGUCAAUCCAACGUGCUGACCUAACUAAUGAAUGACUAUAACAGUAUACAACCAUAUCAUAACUCCCCUCCAACCUUCAUAUGUAUAAUGAACAUAUAAGGAGAAUCACAACAAACCUGGUAUGCAACAAUGAAAAUGCGUAUGGAAAGGAAGGCAUGGUGGGCUAUCUGACUCCCCGCAAAGACCGUUACAGUUAUCUGAUAGAUCAGCUGAGAAAUGGGAGCUGCAUCCUCCAAACCAUUUACUUUGGCAUUCGGUCCAAUAACAACCUAGAAGCGGAUGACAGAACAUUAAUGCAACAUUGUGAACAUAUCAUCAGGCCCACUUAAUGCCUACACUACACACAUAAAAAGAAACAACAGUAUGUUGCAAAAUUUGAUACUAAUCGCAAUACAAGCAUAAGUCUGAUAAAGUUUGUUAAGUUUUAAUGACUAGAGGUAUCAGGAAAAUGUACCACCUUGUGACUUAAACUGCAUGAUAACACACAACAAGGUGAAUGGAUCAUAUGUAUCUCAAGACAUUCCCUUUCAAUACUUAAAUAAGCUUUCAUGUCCAAAAGCAUACAGAGGAAAAACUUGAACCUUAGGAACUAAUCAAAUCUGGUCCAUGAGCCUUCUAGAUCAUUUAAAAGUAUAUCUCUUCCAAUUGAAUAUUACAUUUACAAGCUUACACAAAAUUUGGAACACACAUCACUAAAGCCUCUGUUACCCCAAGAUUACUAAAAUUAAACUCUCCGUUACCAGAUAAAACCAAUUAUACUCAGAAACAACGAUCAUUAGAAACUUUACAUAUCAAUAAAAGAAGAUCCUUACAUCUUCGUAUAUAAACUAUGAAACAGCACAAACGAUAGAAGCGCAAGGGCGUGAUUAGCACGAGUCCCUCCUCACUCGUAAUCGAACCGAUCAAUUAAGCUCAAAUUGCAAUGACUACUCAGGAAUCGAUCAGUCAAACAAACUAGAUCAAAAUAACCAUUAAAAAUCACAAAAAAAAUAGAAAUCUAGAUUGACUCAGCAACUACAAAACCUAGCUCGCAAGGAUCAAAGGAUCUAAAACAAUCGAUAAGAAAAGGGUAAGCAGGGUUGUGGAUUUCACCAUGAGAGGGGAGAUCGAGGGAGCUCGCGAGGGCGAAGAAAGGGAGAAGAGAGUAGUAGAUUAGAAGCGCCGCCAUUUCCGUCCCCGACCUCGGCUCGAGCGCACGCCACCGACGCCAUUUUUAUCGGAGGUAGGUGGUCUCGAGACCAUUGCGUGGACGAGUUCCACCACGUCAGCAGUGGAAUAAACGGCGACGAAGUUGUCGGUCCACGAGUGGCUUGUGAACCAGGUCCAGUAAAAUGAUUCCCGGGAACGCAUAAGCCCGGAAGAAUCGUAACCGUUGGAUGUAAAUUAAACGGUCAGAUACAGGUGUUGAAGUGUGAUCUCUUUCUCCGUUGUUCAUACUCAAUGAAUUGCAACAAUAUUGAAUAAUGUUAAUUUUGAAAUGAUUAUUAUCUUUUAACUUAUGAAUAGGAUAAUUAAUUAGUUGCAUAAUACCAAGCUAGCAUAAGGCCCAAGUAGAUUAGGGCCAAAAAUUUGUCUAAUUCCCUAAACUUUACUUGGGCAUGGUUUGGAUUCAAGUUUGGAUGAGCACAAGCCCAAUCUAAUAAAGUGAGCAACUCAAUGUGCUGGGCCUGAGUUCGAAGGAUGAGUAAAGUACAUGACUUAAAUUCGAAAACAUUUUACGUUUUGUUUGUGAAGCUCUAAAGUCAAGUUUUCAAAAUUCUAAUAAUAAUAAUAAUAAUAACCAUAUACUUAUUUUUUUGUAAUCUUUACUAAUAUGUGAAUUUAGGAGUGAGGCUAUUAUGCUUCCAGAAGCACGGAGUUUUCUGUGCUUCUAGGUUGUUUUUGAUGUUGCGACUUUCGAAUCGUCGAUCGGCUCCGUUAAACUUAAUCUAGAGAAUUUUAAAUACCUAGAAAAUAAAUUUUGUAAUUUUUCGAUAACAUUUGUCUAGUGAACUAAGGGGCUCAAAAUCAACGGCUGAAAAUAAAAAUCUUACAAAACGUGAUAAUGUGACAUUAAAAUUUUAGAUUAAAGAUAUUGAUCUUGUUUCAUAUAGUAUAAAAAAUUUUCUAUCAAAAUUUCACGUGAUUUGGAUAUUUCUACACCGUUAAACUUGCAAACGGCUCACAACAGCCAUUAAAAUUAUUGAUUUUGAGUCCCUUCGAUCACAAGGCAAAUGAUAUCGAAAAAUCAUAAAAUUUAUUUUCUAAGUACUUCAAAUACUCUAGAUCAAGUUUAACGGAGCCGAUCGACGAUUCGAAAGUCGCAACAUUAAAAACGACCUGAAAGCACAGAAGGCUCCGUGCUUUUAGAAGCAUAGUAGCCUCACUCGUGAAUUUAGAUCCUGAUGUUGUACUAACUCAUUUCUAUAAGAUUGAGUAUAUAUAAAUCUAGACUCCUGAGUUAUUUCUAUUUGAAUUACCAUGGGAAGGUUGAGAUUCCAAUCUAUUAAAAGUUUUAAUUUAUAAUUCUUUAAAUUUACUGCGAUAAAAUUCUUUAAUUUUACUGGAACAGAGAAAUUUUAAAUAUACACCCUGUUGCUGGACAAAGCAGGUACUUAGCCUUGAAUAAUUUUAUACGAAUGAUGACCGUCUGAUCCAUUCCACAUGGAGUCGGCAGGUUAGAUCGGACGGUCAUGAUUUACCGACAGCCAGGUUCAUGUAUCCGGGAGCCGUCACUCGAUUCGAGAUGCAUCCAAAAAUUAAAAAGGGUUCAUGAUUUUUUGUGUCGUGAUCAUGUAGACCCUAACAAUUAAUAUAAUAAUAACAAUAAUAAUAAUGCCAAGUUACUUUUUUUUUUUUUUUGUCUUAUAUGAUAUUUGAUAUUUUGAUUCUUUGGCUUUAAUUUAUUAACACAAAUAUUUUUUAAAUCAAUAUCUACAGUAAAAUUUACUUCACUAAAUCCCGGUACCUUGUUGAUAUAAUAGUAUUGUAAUUGACAGCGUAAGAACGAUUAAGAUGCUACAUUACUAACACGGGAGCAAUGCAUCAUUUUCUAAUUAACUAAACCGUACUUUCCAAAUUAAUUGCAACAAAUUUAAAAUUUUGAACUAAAAAUUAGGACGAGUUGCACGUUUGGUUCACAAACUAUGAAUCCGCUGCACUUUUGUCCCCAAAUUUUAAUUCGUCAUAAUUUUUUACUCAGACUUUUUAUUAAAAGUGACAAAAUAUUAGUGUGUCGCUAACGUAGAGAUAACAUAGUAGUAUUAUGAUUGACGAUGAGAAUGUCAGAUUAUUUUUAUAUUAAUAAUACGUUAAAAUUUAGCCAACUAAAUUAAAUUGCAGGACCUAAGUGCGAUAAUUCUAAAAAGUUCCAACCAGAAAUUGUUUGCAAGUGUCAUCAGGCUCAUAAUCUGAGAAUCAAAUGCAUAAUUAUUUAUAAAAAUUGUAAAUUUGUAAUAAAUUAAAAUUCGAGGACCAAAAUAGUACUAAUCGAUAGUUUGGGGACCGAAAGUGUGAUUUAGUGGAAUAAUAAUGGUGAAGUUACUUAGAUGGGCCAAAGCCCACAUGGGAGGAGAGAAGCGAGGCCCACCAACACGCGCAAACAGGUAGUUAGAGAUUGGCUCGGGAUCUGAUCCCUCGCAUUGGGCCCCACACAUCGUGGGCUGCUCCCUAACCCCCGGUGUUAACACAUUGAUCUCUCCGAUCUCUUCCUCUCAAGGGCAAUCUCGUCAAUCCACAAAAAAUUAAUUAAGGACUUGUUUGGCCGAGCAGUGUGGUUUAAAAUUGGAUAAACUUUAAAUACCACCUCACCUCUGUGGUUUCGCAUAAAGUACCCUGUGAUUUGAAGUGUAUUAAGGUAGAGCUCAUCAGCUUCUCCAUUAAUAUUUUGUUAAAUUAUAUACAAAAUACUUCAGAUACUUCAUCUAGAUUUAUCGAAUAUUUAUUUUAGUACCCUUAAGUUUUAACUUUGUUACUGAUUUAAUGAAAAAAAUUAGUGAAAUCGAUAAUAAAAAGAUAAAAAUGAAAUCACAGAGCAUUAAAUUGAUAUACUUUAAACCACAAGGUACUAAAGUGAGAAAGUGUGAAACUACUAGAGUAGUAUUUGAAGUUUUUCAAAAAAAAUUUAUGUGCACAGUAUCUUCUUUUCAUUAAUAUUAAAAUCAGGCUUCCUUUGGUUUGCCCUAACCAUAUUGUAGAUUAGAUUUUUUUAAAAAAAAAUAAGAGAGAAAAAGAUAGCUGAAUCACCUGAUCAGUAUAAUAGUGUAGAUUAGUUGUUGAACCACAAUCAGUAUCCAAGGUAAACCCCUCAUUUCAAAUAGGCAUUUGAAUCAACUAGUCUCAAAAUUACAAAGAAUUUACUAUUAGUAUAAAAUAAGAACGCUCGUCUCAGCAUAAUUAACUGAAGUGGUCUUGCGAGUUUGCCCCCAAAUUUAAAUAGAUUAAUACCCAACGUGGCAAUGGACUUUAUAGUCGAUAUCUGAUAUUUCAAAAUUGAAACCUUGAUAUUUCAUAUUUUCAAUUAAGUUUAUUUGCCGAUAGUAUACUAUUUUUUUUUCUCAUUUCAUAUUUUUUUAUAAGAAGGGAAAAAAAAAAAUCUCUCGCGGAAAAGUAAACCUUACAAAGCCUAGUUUCUCAAGCUCUUUUGUGUAUCUCAAAUAAUCUACUGAAUAUAAAUAAGUAAAUCUUGUUCAUGCGCAAAACUAUAUAGUUUCUCUUUUGGCCAUUUCCACACACACACAUGACACAUAUCUCUCUCACCGAUCAACUCAGAGAUUCACAUGGUCUCCGAUAUAAAAAUUCUGGUGCAUUAAGCAGAGCAGCAGCUGCAGUAAUGAAACAGAGUAGCACAUGGCAAUCCCAUUAAUUAAAUACUUUUUAGGGUAAAAUACGCGCACUAACGGCCACAAAGACUAAUGUCGGUGCGACAAACAUUGCCUAUGUUGUUUGAUUGUACUCAAAUUGUAUGAUUGAAGCACUUAUUUUAUUAUUAUUAUCCUUCUCCGGUCCAGUACAAUUGAUUAAUAUUGUAAAUUAUCGAUCAGAAAAUCAAAUUUUCAAUUCGAUUCUCUGCAUGCGUGUUUCAAAAUUGGACGUUACUUUUUGGAUUGAAUUAAAUUGAAUGAAACUAACGCCGAUGUUACUUACCUAGUACGGGCAUUUCUACAGACAUAUAUGUCAUAAGUCGUAGGUAUAUUUAACAAAUUAUCCGUCAUUUACUCAUUCGCAUUGCAAUUUAUGUCAAUUAUACACUAUUUUGAUUUUAAAUUUUGAAUGUGCGGUUUAGUAUACUUCAUGCGCUCUCACAAUUAUAAAUUUAUUAAAAUAAAUAAUUAGCUUAAAUUUUAAAAUCAAAUUAUUGUUAAUAAAUUUAAAUCAAACAAAUUGAUUUAAUAGUAAAAUUAAAAUCUAAAAAAAAUUAAAUAAUUGGUUUAAAAUCAUCAUUAGUUCAGAUAUUUUAGAUAUAUAAUUUUAAAUUUGAAAGCGCCAAUACAUAACUGUAUUAAAUCAACGAACUGUACCAUGGAGCACAAAAACGGUAAACGUCACUUCGCGACACACUAAGCCGGUUCAAUUCGGCGAACCGGGUUCGGAGGGGACGGCCCACUGGGCCAACUCCGGUCUCAAAUCCAAACACCGGUAUCAAUCAACACACACCAAUCGAUGGGAAGGAAAAAGGCCCGGUUCAAUCGAACCGGUAAAAUGACGAUAGUACCCUCGGAAGCGGCUUAAAUUGCAUGGCGCCUCGUGUCGGAGAUAGGGGGUGGCGUGUAACGCCGAAGCGAAACGGGCCACGUGACCACUGACACUGCCUGUUCCCAUGCCCGUGAGGGGCAAUAUCGUCAUUUCACUACAAAGUCCCUCUCCUCCACGGAAAAUUCUAGAAUGCAACGGGUAUAUUAAUGACGUGGCGUAACAAACCAAUCAAAUUAAUUUUUUUAAGAAUAUAUGUCCCAUCAUGAUUGUAAAAAAGUAUUUUUAUUAUACUUUUAUUUGAAAAGAAGAAAUGUGAUUGGCUUGUUAUUGAUGACGUGGUGCAAGUGUGACAGUGUAGAAUUCCUCCUCAUUCACAUACGAGGAGAAGUUAUCGCCUCAACCCGGUGCAUUCGUACGCUUCAUGCACCGAACUCAAAUUAUUUUAGCCUGAGUGUUUCGAGGCUUACUUUGAUAUUGAGGUCCAUACGAUGUUACUAAAUAAAAUAAAAUUAUGAUAAAAAUAUAUAAGGAUAUGCUUCUGAGUUAUGUGGUAGAAUUGUAAAAAUGUAUCGUAACUGACUCAUCGUGAUAUGCGAAACGCAAUAUUAUAUACGAAAAUAAAUAUAAUAUUUUUUUUAUCGUACUUUUUCACUACACAUAACGUAAUCUUGUCGCAAUCUCAAAUGAAACCAAAAACUAAAAUAUAGUACACAACCUACAACCUCUAAAUAAAUUAUAUAUAUAAAAAAAUUAUAGUUUGUAUUGAAAUAUUAUUUGGUUUAGAAUAAAAGAAAUUAAAAAAUUAUAAUUUCUUUUAUAUGAUAUAAUUUUUAAAAAAUAUUAUAGCGUAUAAAUAAUAAAGUAGAUUUUAGUUUUGAGAUUUUAUCAUUACUCUUUAGAAGCAUAAGCAAGAUAGCAUUUUGACACUCAUGUGGAUAUUGAUGAGGGGUUUUUUUUUUUGGUGUCGAAGGUUUUUUUUGGUGUCUCAUUACAAUUUAUUUGUUAUAGUUAUUUUUCUUAGAAUCAAAUCAAUCUCUUCAUAUUAUAUAAAAGGGAAAACUUCAAAUACCCCUAUGUGAUUUCGCACUUUCUCACUUUAAUACCAUGUAGUUUAAAGUGUAUCAAGUUAGCACCCAGUGGUUUCGCACUUUCUCACUUUAAUACCCUGUGGUUUAAAGUGUAUCAAGUUAGUACUCUGUGGUUUCCCUUUUGUAUCAAGUUAGUACCCAGUGGUUUUAAUUUUUUUUUUUUAUUAUCCAUUUCAGGAUAUAUAAUUUAACGAAAUAUUAAACCAUAUGAUACUAAAGUGAGAAAGUGCGAAACCACAGAAUACUAACUUGAUACACUUUAAACCACAUGGUACUAAAGUGAGAAAAUGCGAAACCACAGGAUACUAAUUUGAUACAUUUUAAACCACAUGGUACUAAAGUGAAAAAAUACGAAAUCACAAGUUGAGUAUUUGAAGUUUUCUCUAUAUAAAAAUACAAAAAUAUUAAAAUAUCAUUUUUAAAAUAAAGUUAAUAUAUUCAUCCUGAUUAGACUCGUUUUACCCACAAUGAUUGAAAUACAUUUUACGCCUAAUUUAGAUGAAUUAUAAAUCAUUUUGAAUUAGACAUCAAGUCUUUUAAAAUUUUAAUUUUAUUAUUUAAUAUUUAAAUUUAUUUGAUUUGAACCAAUUAACAAUAUUUUUAUUUUAAAAUUUAAGCCUAUUACUUAUUUUAAUAAAAUUUACAGUUUCAAAAAUUAUCUAAAAUAUAUACUAACUAACUUAUAAAAAUAAUAAUAUAUUUAAAUUUUAAAAUCUAUUGCCUAACUCAAAUCAAAUAAAUUAAAAAAUUCGACAGUAAUUUAAAAUUUUUAAAAAAUUGUGAGGACACGUGGCGAGAAACUCAGCACGAGACGCGGUGGCAUUGUGGAAAAUUUCUCGAAACCCAGUGGCAUUUAACGAGAGCAGGUCCUUAUAAGGACUCAUGGUGCGCCCCCCCCUUUUCUCUCUCAACUCAUCUCCAUCGAUCAUCUCCUUCAUUUCUCACCGUAUAAGCCAAUAGGAUGUCGCGUUAUGGUGCGCCGCUACUGCUAUUGUGCGCCGCGGUUCACGUAGCAUUCGCCAUUAAUGAUGGUAAUAAUAGUAACACUUAUCUCUGAGCUCCUCUUUUACUUCUUAUAUAUAUAUAUCUACAUAGCUUCUUUUUUUUUUUUUUUUAAAAAAAGUAGAAAUAUAAUAUUUGUAAAUUACAAAUAAAUAUUCUGANCUUCUUCAGUUUUUUUUUUUUUUUUUUUUUUUUACUUUCAAAUGUGAUUUUUUUCAAAUUUUAUUUUCAAAAUCAACUUAAUGUGAACAAAUAGUUAUGUAUCCGUUGCAAUGACAUUGUUGUUAUUUAAAUAAUAACAAGUACUACGUACUCAAGUGCAAUUUUUUUUUUUUUAAUCACACGGGGCUCUGUUCAAACUCCUGCAUAAAAGUUAGAGAUUCAAACUUUCGACUUCUCAAAUAAUAAUAUACUAUAUUUUGGAGCCGUUACAUUUGAAUUCUUAGAGUUAUUAUUAUUUAUUAUUAUUUGGAACACACAUGGGUACCACCCCUGCAUCGUGUAUGAAAAGAUGCAUAGGUUUCAAAAAUCUCUAGAUUCUAGUUGGGAUUCUAUAAUCGGAGUCUAAUAAUAUUCAAAUGAACAUUUACCAUAAAAUUCACUGUUGAAACUAUCAGUGUGCACUUACAGUUUUUAAUGUAAGUGGUAAAUAAUUUAAUAGUUAGUAUUCGAAGUUUUAUUGCUUUAUAUUUUUAGCUAAGUUUAUUUUUUAAGAAAAAAAAAACUAAACAGAAUGGUAGCGUGAAAAAAAUUUUUUUUUUUUUUUUUUGAGAGAUAGAUAGCACGCUACCCGCUUCGUUUAUUUCAUUUUGAAAUAAACUUAGCUAGAAAUGUAAAUCAACUAGGAUUCGAACUUGGGUUUCGGAUAUCGACCACCAAGUCCUUUGUCACUUGUCACUUGCUCUAGGGAUGGUCGGUUAGCGUGAAAAAAUUGUUAGUAUACAAGUAUUAGAAGAUUCAGUUACAGUAAGUCUUAUUUCUCUUUUUGCUAGAUUAAGAAUGUCUAGGAUUCUCGAGGACUACUACAGUUGUUAAUCUAGGUAAUUUUUUUUGGAUAAGUAUGAAUAAUUUUAGAUUGAUUCUAACUCCUACAAAAACAAGAACUUCAAAUUAGUUCAUUAUCUUUUCAACAUAGUAAAUUUAGCUAAAAAUAUAAAAUAAUUAGAUUUUGAAUUUAGAACCUCAGAUACCAACCAUUAAAUCUUUUAUCACUUAUGCUAGAAAUAGUAGGUAAAUAAUUAUUUUUUAUAGUAGAAAAAUUAUUUUAAUAUUGGAUAAAAAGCAGUGCUUAUAUAACUUAGAAAACACCAGCAAAUGGAUGGUCAUUGUAUUUUUCUACCAAAACCAGGAGGUGGUUGCUAUUAAUGGGGAUAUGGAUCUACCUAAAAUUUAGCUGUUUCUUUAACGUCGCAAUCAAAUCUAUCAGAUACCAAUUGGCUUCUAUUAAUUGGAUGAACAGUGAAAGAAGUUAAUGAAGCAAUAGUUUUAGUAAAAUAGAAAAUUUUCUAAACCUGAAUGAUUUUUACUGAGCUUGUUUUACUGAACACAGAAUAAGUCGAAUUCAAGGAGAUGUUGAGCCUAUUGGAAUUAGCUAUGUGCAUUUCAAAAUUUCUACUCAUCAAUUAAGUAGAAAGCUUAAUAACACCGUCUUUUACGAUAGAGAUAAGUUAUAUAUUUAACAUGCAUAUAAAACGGUUGUAGUUAUAGCAUUUACUUGCUAAUAAAAUUGGCAUCAAUAUUUGUGCCAUGCUGGGGAGCUAUUUGCUAGCUUCAUCAGAAUAUUCUUUUGACUUGACCUAAAAGUAAUUAAUAUGGUAGAUUCAAAAUUUGAAAUGUUGGCCAUGUGGACCAUGUGGAACUUCAUUAUUUGAGUGUCAGAUGUGUGGGUUGUAUUAUUGUAUAUGGGUCAUAUAUAGGUCUUUAGAUCCCAGAAAUGGAAAUUUAACCUUCACAGGAGAAAUAUUUUACUUCUUUUCAUAAUGUUGAUUUUACAUGAUGUUAAUUUUUGAUUAAUUUAUGCACAUGUUUUAAUUUUUAUAUGAAUUUGUUAAUACUGUUAAUAGAGAGCAGUAAUUUUUCUUUGGCCACUGUGAUAGAUGGUUGGAAGUAGCUGCAAAUUGCUGUCAAAAGUUAAAAAAAAAAAUAUUUUUUUCUGGAUUAAAAAAAAUUAUUCGUUGGAUUACUGUCGCGUCAGUAAUAUAUAAAAAUUUAGGAAACUAAAAAAUAAUACAGUUGAUGAAACUAGUGCUCAGCAGAAUUACUCAUAAUUAAAUUUCAAAAGGCAUUAAAUUUACUUUAAAAAUAGAGGGCAAAAUUUUAAAAGAAGCCAAUGCAAUUUACUCUUAAUUGUUUUGUAAUAUUACUUGAGACUUGCACCAUGUAACAAGGAAGCAUGAGGGGGCCUAUUGGGUAGCUGGAGAAAUAAGUGCUUCUACAGAGGCUAAAUUUAUGAUUGGGCCUUGCGACAGCUUUGACCAGCCUAACUUCUCAUAAUUGAAGGGGCAAAAUUAUUGGGCUUAUCAUAGCAAAAUAGUGGCAAUCUUCAGUAGAAUAUAAAUAUUUUUUUAAUCAACUCAACUAAAAAUAUAAAAUAACUAGAUUUUGAAUUUGAGAUCUCAGAUGCUGAUGCUGCUCAUUAAAUUUUUAGUCAACUGCGCUGGAUAGAAUACAAUAUUAAUGACUAAUAAAUGACCAAUACAGCAGUCACCACUUGAUUGCAUUCCAUAUAUCCUUUUAGGAUAUCGACUGUUGCUAGCAUAAGUGGUAAAGGAUUCGAUGGUUGGUAUCCGAGGUUUUAAAUUCGAACUCUAGUUGAUUCACAUUUCGAGUUAAAUUUAUUUUUUUUAAAAAAUAAACGAAAUGAAUAACAUGUUAUUUUUUUCUCUAAAAAAAAACAUAUCCUUUUCGAACUAUUCCUUUUAAAAUUUUGCGCAAAGAGUGAUUCUGGUUCUCAUUGGUAAUUAACUGUCGAUCUAACAUGCAUAUAAUUAUUAGUUACUGGCGUGCGUAAAAAAUUCUUGCACACGAAAUUAAUUUUAUGCAAUGCUAAUGAAUUUGUGGUGGUGCGACUGCGCGCGUUAGGACUUCUUCCGAACGGGAACUUCGAGGCGGGGCCGAAGCCGUCGGAGCUGCGGGGGACGGAGGUGGUGGGGCGGCACGCGAUCCCGGAGUGGGAGGUGUCGGGGUUCGUGGAGUACAUCGAGUCGGGGCACAAGCAGGGGGACAUGCUGCUGGUGGUGCCGGAGGGGGCGCACGCGGUGCGGCUGGGGAACGAGGCGUCCAUCCGGCAGCGGCUGCGGGUGGCGCGGGGCGCGUACUACGCCGUGACCUUCAGCGCGGCGCGGACGUGCGCGCAGGAGGAGCGGCUGAACGUCUCGGCCACCCCCGACUCCGGCGUGCUGCCCAUGCAGACCAUGUACAGCAGCACGGGCUGGGACUCCUACGCCUGGGGCUUCCGGGCGCUCUUCGACGAGCUCGAUCUCGUCAUCCACAAUCCGGGCCUCGAGGAGGAUCCCGCCUGCGGCCCCCUCAUCGACUCCGUCGCCAUUCGCACGCUCUACCCGCCCAGAUUAACAAACAGUAAGUAGUAGUGAUUAAUUCUUCUUCUUCUUCGCAUCCGCUAGAUCUAUAUAUCCAAAAAGAUCAUUAUUAAUAAUAAUAUUUGGUGGUGUAUAAUUGGGUGGGGGGACAGAGAAUCUGCUGAAGAACGGGGACAUGGAGGAGGGGCCGUACAUAUUCCCGAACACGACGUGGGGGGUGCUGAUACCGCCGAACAUCGAGGACGAGCACUCGCCGCUGCCGGGGUGGAAGGUGGAGUCGCUGAAGGCCGUCAAGUACGUGGACGCGGCGCACUACGCGGUGCCGCGGGGGCUCCGCGCGGCGCAGCUGGUGGGGGGGCGGGAGAGCGCGCUGGCGCAGGUGGCGCGCACCGAGCCCGGGCGCAGCUACGCGCUGACGUUCGCCGUGGGCGACGCCGGCGACGCCUGCGCGGGGCCCAUGGUCGUCGAGGCCUUCGCGGCGCGCGCCUCCCUCCGCGUGCCCUACGAGUCCAAGGGCACCGGCGGGUUCAAGCGCGCCGUGCUCCGAUUCGCCGCCGCGGAGAAGCGCACCACCGUCGUCUUCCUCAGCACCUACUACCACAGCAAGCCCGACGGCUCGCUCUGCGGGCCCGUCGUCGACGACGUCGCGCUCCUCAGCGUCCGCAACGCCACCAAACCAAAACCACCGCUACGGCUCAGGCUCCUGUGAGCUUAAUUUUGCGGCACAUGGCCGUGUAUACUAGUUACUACUGUUGGAGUAUUUGAUUUUGGGUGGAGUGGUGUGGUGUUUGUUAUUGUUUUACUCUCUUCGUUUUGGUACGUGCGUACGUGUAUACCAGGUAGGUGCCCUGUGGCUACCACGAAAAACUUUUUUGAGUGCUAGCAUAUGUGGCGCGUUGAUCAGUGGGGUGGGAAAGAGGUUACUUAAUGGUUUGUUCCGUGGAAUAUAAACUGUGUACUUGUGAUUCAAAUGCAAUUACUCUGAAUGUUUACGGUCUUAUGUACGACCAAGUGGUUGUUUUACGUUCUUUUAUUAGAGUUUGAUUUGAUUGGAUGGAUAAACACCGCAUUUCUUACAUUUCUCGAGUUUAGAUUUUUUAUUUUUUUUUAAGAUAAAUGCAUUUAUUAGUAGAUUGGGCUUGAAAUUAAAUUUCUCAAAAUGAAGAUAAACUAAUAUCAUAGUCGAAUGUUUUAUUUUUUCCACACAACUAAUUAUAACUUCUAAAUCUUGCAAGAGACUAAAAACAAACUUUUAGAUCACAGCUGCUAAUAACUAAAAUAUAAAAAAAAAGGUUCUCACUACUCUGUGUCGCCUGCCAUUCAACUGUUACAGUGUUUUUUUCCCCCCCCAAUAAUUAGGCUGUAAAAAUAACUCCAGAUGAUCUCAUGAACUACCACCAAAUACACCUGGAAGUGGUGCAUAUGCAGCGAAAAAUUGGAAAAGUAAUAUACAUGGCUUCAAUAUGAAAGAAAAACAAUAAGGUUAUUACAUACUAUUGCAGAACACGCUAUUCUCCAUUUAGAACAAACCAGAAUGUUGCCAACAGGGAGCUCAAAUAAAACCAGACAGCGAGCAACAAGACGGAGAGCAAUAGUAAGUAAAAAAAGGUGUUAUCUGUCAUAUCCAAACACAAUCAAAGAGUGAAAAUAAAAACCUUCGAGUCUAUCAAGUUACACAUAUCAAGUACAGUAGUACACAUCCGAACGGACAAUUUUGGAAUGGAACUAAGAAAUUCAAAUCUUGUAACUAUCACCAAAAUGUAAUUCAGCUACUCUCCAUCUGGUAAAAGCUUUGAUCAUAAGUUAUACCUGCUUCUACAUCUUUCUUCUUUCCUGAGGGAGGCUCCAAUUGACGACUGUUGCAAAUUCCUUGUUAGAAGCUUGGCUUAGUUUCAAAAAGCGUAACAAAUGAUUCGAAUUGGAAAUUGCAAGAAAGAGCUUAUAUUUGAUGGCAGUCCGACAGUCAGAAGGUUGAGAAAGAUUCGGUCUUAACAGAGACUGCUGCAAAACAGAUGUACGCAUGGAAUACAGACAAGUGCCCCAGCAUGCCUUUCCAAAAGUUGCUAAGCAAAUCUGAAAUUCCGAGUCCAAGAAUUCAAGGCCAGCAAAGUUCAAUUAGAGUGCAUAUAGAUAAACAACAUUGGCAUCUAUUGGAAGAACAUUUCCUGAGCAUUUUCCAUCUACAAGGUGACAAUGCACCACUUUGCUAAAGACUAUCAACAAGGAAAUUGAAAAGAACAUCAGCAACAGCAUCAGAAACCACACAGUUCUAGAACCAUCACAAAUAAUAAUGCCACGUACCUUGUAAAGAAAGUCCUAAUUGUCACCUGUUUCCUGUAACUUUUAAGUCUUAUUAGCUCUAAGAUUUCUUGCUCGCUGAAACACAAAAUAUCAAGAUAUUAUUUCUCAUUUAUUCCCGUGAUGCUUCUCAAGGUGGUCCGAUCCUUUCAACCAUCAAAAUUUGCAUAAAAUAGUCGUUAAGUACAAACAAUUGAUGAUGAUGCGCUAAAUGCCUUUAGUAUCUUCGAAGCUUCUAAUGAUCGUACAUGCACCACAUGCCUACAGUAUCACCAGGCAUUCAUUUCAAUCUUGUUAAGUAACUUCCAUAGGAAUGCUAAUAAAAAACAAUGACUUAAACACAAAGAAUGAGCCUAACAACAACCCAAGAGAAGGAUAAUGUAUUGCUUCAAAACAUUUCGACAGGAAGUUCAUCUUUUAUCAGAAAAUAUUCGUGCCAAUCCCGCUCGAAAUUCAAUAGCUACCUUACAGUGUACUAACAAAUAUGCACAAUAAACCCUACAAUGAUCUUUUAACAACAAUUACUCUGCAGAUGAUGAAUGCCAUAGGUCCGGAAAAAGUAAAGAGUAACUAUUUUAUUUCACGAGGAAUAUCGGUAGGUCAUUUACAAAUGCUUCUAUCAUCCAAAUUGUCAAGGUGAAACGGAUGCAGAUAAUUUCAACAUCAUUCUCCCUUAUGAAUAUUUUCUUUCGUUUCCACUUGAAGUUAAAGAAAAUCUCUUUUCCUCCAAUGUAAAAGAAUUCUUGCAGUGAUUGUGGUUUAAAAUUUUAAAUGGAACAGGCAGCGAUCAAUUUUUAUAACAGAAGAAUAAUUAGUAUUGUUCUGAUCAUUCUUUAUGGAAACAUUAAAUUGCAUGAGAAACAAAUAUACCAAAUGCUUUGUAAGCAUUGGACACAUGUUCUUAUACCAUUCAAUACAUGAGCUCUCAUCAAUAUUCACAAACUGGUAAGAUUAUUGAAGUGGUUACACCAGUACUAUAGCAACCAAAGUACGCGGUAUCUUUUGUAACAAACUCUGACCAGAUUUAGGAAGGAAAUAAACAAUAGUGAAUUAAUACACAAUAUAUGUAAUAUUACUGACAAGAGCAAGCUAUCCAACAUACUGAAUUGAGAUUUCUCCCGCAUUAAGUAAAUAGAGGCACUCAGCAGUUAACUUUUAAGUUCUUACCACAUUUUGAGUGCAACCAUCAUAAGCUGCAAUAGAUACACAGGUGCCCAUAACUUAGCUAUCAAAAGCACCUAGUCAGCCUGCAGUAAGAUCGGGAAAAAUGAGAAGCGCAGUUAAAAGAUACCAACUGAUCAGCUUGUGCUGAAUCCUUUGUCAGGAUCAGAUGGAGAUAGAGAUGUUGCCACAUUCCCCGAAGGUUAAAUAGGUAACAAACCCACUAUCAUCUUGGCCUGCUGGCAUGCUUUAAAAGCCUCCAACUUCAGCCUGAAAAGUGCAUCGGGAAUAUCAAAUAUAUCCCAAGUAUAGAAUAAGCAACUUCUUAUUGAGAUAGCAUUAUGUGCUCACUGUGCUAUGGUAGUAUACAUGAAGCUACUGAACAUUUGAGCCAGUAGAUUAAAGCUACUGAAAUUAAAGAGAACUAAUAACGAGCUCACACUCAAGCAACUAAAAAGCGUUCACAGGAAUAAAUCGAGAAAAAAUUAUGAGAAUUACAUUGAACAGAAAUUUAUGCGCUAUAAAAGACAAGGCGGAAAUUAACAUAAAUUUUAACUGUUUGAGAAAAAUAUUUAUGACAAACUGCACUCAAAAUGCUUUUGAGAACCCACAAUCACAUUAGUAAACCAAACAAGCUUUCUUGCAACAUUAAGCGACAGCAAAUUUGUUACAUUAAUAAUCUUUAGCAAAUUUCCCAGAGAGCAAUCUGCAUGAAAGUUUUACAGAAAAUAAGAUAAUCUCCUGAUAAUUUACUGCAAAGCUAAUAGAAGCUGGUCAUCAUUGUAAACUUUUGAGUCAUCCACAUGGGACAAUUUUCUCAUAGCAAAGUGCAAUAGCAUAAACAGAAGCGACAACAUUAAACCAAGACUUACUUCCAAAAUCGCUCAAGGGUAUUCAACUGCUUUUUUCAUGAAAGAUUUUUCAUACAAAAUUAUGCUACAGAAGCUCAUUGUCUUUAGCACAAAAUAUGAGUAGCAUGUGGCACUAAAAUGAAUGACUGACUUUACAGUACAGCAGAAAGUUAAAGAGACAAGUAAGGACCUAAAAAAAAAAAAAAUCCUACAAUGAGCUGACACUAUUUUCCUGAAGACUGAAAGGAACAUUGGUUCUGGUAGAUGCUAAAUGCUUUAGCUCUAUUAAAUGCUCAUCAUCUGAUAUGUGGAGUUCUAGGCGGAGGUUACCCAUCAACUCUUCUUUUUCCCAGGUUAAGGGCCCAGAUGCAUAUAAUGCCAACAAUGUACGAUGAUAGGCUUCUAACUCUAACCGAUGAACUUCUUCCUCUAGAUCCUCUUUUUUAUCAAGGGAAAGAAAUUUCUCAGAUGCACAGGAAGGUUCAAUAUCAUUGAAAUUUAAUGGACUAACUACAGGACAGUAGGGGGACCUAUAAGGGCUGCAGCAAGGACUACAACUACCGACAGAGGAUGCAAUACUCUCAUCAUCAUUAGGUUCAUCAAUAGCAUGUUGUACUCCAUAUCUUUCACCAAGUAUAUACGGUGAAGCAACAGCAUCUACCUUUUCAAGUAGAACUGGCUGGCACUUUCCCUCUUUCUCUACUAAUCUCCUCUUAUUCUUAGCUCCUGCAGAUGUGCCAAUAAUCAUCAAGCAGUCAUUUGGCCUUUUCUCCCCACUUCUCGAUGCGAGCUCCCUAAGACAAGUACUUCUUCCAAAGUGUAAUUGAUCAUCUCCACCGUAUUUCUCCAACUCUAUGCAUGACUGAGGUACUUGUGGGCUAAAGUUCCCCAACUUCAUCCGGCUAUCCAUGACUCCUUUGCAUCUUCGAUAACCCUGCAGCAAAAUAUAAACACAUCAAUCACCAAAAAAGGUUAGAAUAACUUUUCGCAGAACCAUGGCUCAAUGAACGAAAAAAAAAGACCUCGUUUGGCCACGGUCACUGUUUUUCUGGUCUUCAAGCUCAUUGUUUGCAAUUUAUACAUUAAGGAUUUUAAUUGUCAACUAACUACAAUAAUUCAGAGUAACUUUUUUUUCCCCUCUUUGUUGCCUUAGUAAUACCCAAAAACAGAAGCCCAUUCGCUGGCAUGUUGAAUAGCGAAUUUGAGUUUUAAAAAGUAAAAAAAAGCACAUGUGUAACCAAAUGAGGCCUAAAGGUUUUCAGUAAAAAGAAAGAAUCGUAAUCAAUAGCAAAUAACAAGAUCAAAUUAAUAUGAUCACCUUCUGAAUCACAUCCCAUUUCCCAUCCCUCCAAGACUGUCGCACUCUAAGGCCAGAUAAAUGCGCUCUAAAGACUUUCGACGUUCCAAGAAGUCUGACAACAUAAUAACUCGAAUCAAUGACUCGGGACACUAUUGCAAGCUUCCAGGAGUUACUCUCAAAGGCCUCAACUAUGUCACCCUGAACCCAGCUCUCUGUGGACUCGAAAGGAGGCGGGCAUGGCCUGAUAGCCUUUCUCGGCACUCGCCCGACAGCCAAAUUUGUAUCAAGUGAACAAGUAAUGAAUCGCACAUUAUAAGUAUGCCCGUUGCCGGAGAUUAUCUCCGCAGGGCACCAUGAUCCUAAGGGCACCUCCCACUUGCUCAUUACCUCCACCUUGCUGCCUUUCUUGAAUCUCAUUGUGCAAUGAUCUCGGAUUUCAAUUUCGAGAACUUUGAUUUGAACAAUCUGAUGAAGAAAAAAGGCAAAGAAUUAGAUCCACCACAAAUUACUGCAGUAUUUUACACAAUAUUGCAUUCAACAUGAAAUUAUAAGCAUCAACUGAAUAUUCUCCAUAUGCCUAAUCGAUACGCUAUUUAGUUAAGAGAAAAACGUGCAAAGAAACGCAAACAAACACGGUAAAAUCUAGUAAAACUACAAAUCAGCCGAUGAAGUUUUGUUUCCAACAAAUAUCGAAGUUAAUUCCACUAAUGAUACAAUAGCUAGCAUAUAAAUAUCGACCAUACGUCGUUAGAAACCUACAAAAAAUUGCAUCAGGGUGCAAAUACUAACAUCGAUCGAACUUAACACAGAAGAGACAAUAGCAUGAUCGAACAACCAUACAAUAAGUGCAAGUUACGAUGCGAAACUGGAUUUAAUAACUACGAAAACCCUAGGACUGAUUCAACAUCAAACCCUUACUAACCUUCAAUAAAAAGCAUCUAAUAAUCACCCCAAAAAUUGAAGAACAUCUCAACAAAAUUAAAAAAUAAUCAGAAACAUAACAACAAAACAAAUAACAGCACCUAAUAAAAGAAUCACCCACCGAUCCCCGUACUUAAAACUAGUCCAAAAGGAACAAAAGGACGAUAAAUUCCAAAAUAGAUGAAAUGAUCGAGCAAAAACACACAAAAUUACAAAAAAAAAUGGAUAUAUUUCGAAUGAAGUGUGAAAGAAAAUCACAAUUACCUCUCUACGAUCGAUCGAUCGGAGACGAAGAGCGAUCGAUUCGUCUCCUUCUCACCUUCGCUUCUCUUCGACGAUCCCUCGCGCUCUCCCUCUUCCCUCCGCUGCCCCCAAAUUCCUUCCUUCUGUGGGUUUAAUUUCUCGGCUUAUUUCUACCUUUUUAAUUUUUCGGUUUAAAAAGCGUAAAUUGGUAGGAGAAAAUUAUAUUAAAAAAAGGGUAAACUUCAAAUACCACCCUGUAGUUUCUCAGUUUCUCACUUGAAUAUCUCAUAUUUUAGAUUGUAUUAAGUUAGUCCCUCGUGAUUUUAUUUUUAUCUUUUUGUCAUUUUUUCGUUAAUAUUUCGUUAAAUUAUAUACAAAAAACUUCAAAUACCCUAUUUAAACUUAUCGUAUAUUCACUUUAGUAUCAUUUAGUUUUUAUUUUAUCACUGAUUUAAUAAAAAAAUUUGUAAAAUUAAUAAUAAAAAAAUAAAAAUGAAAUCAUAGGCACUAAAUUGAUAUACUCUAAAUUAUCAGAUACUAAAGUGAAAAUAUAUGAAACCACAUGAAUGAUAUUUGAAGUUUUUUUUUUAAAAAUAUUUAUACAUUUAACGGACGUGACGGGAAUUAAAAUCCAACUGUGGGGUAGGGGUUACGUCCGGGGAGAAGAGGUGGCGAGUCCGAAACGAACUGGGAUGCGGUUGAACGAUAUUAACGGUCGGAUGAGGAGCGGAGUGGACGGUUGGAUGUGGAAUGGACGGUCAACGAUUUUUCUCGAAUCUUCCAUGUGUGUGAGUUAAAUCGAACCGGUAACACCAGUGGCGGUGCACCCAAUUUAGAGUAGAGAGGAGUUAUUUUCCUCUGUAAAUAUUCAUUUUUAUUAUUUAAUUUAAUAAAUAUAAAUUAAAUUUAUUUGUAAUUUUAUUUUUUUUAAAUAUUAUAAUUAAAUUUGUUUUGUUUGAUAUCCAAAGUUAAUGGCCGACAAAAUAAUAGAAAAUUAACUAUUGUGAUUUUUUUAUUUUUUAUAUGUUAAUAUACAAAGUUUCAGUAAACUAAACAAAAAGAGUGAAAUAAUUAUCGUAAUUUUAAAGUCAUUGAUUUUCUACAGAAAUAAACAACAACNAAAUAAAAAAAUCACAAUAGUUAAUUUUCUAUUAUCAUGUGAUUUUUUUAUUUUUUAUAUGUUAAUAUACAAAGUUUCAGUAAACUAAACAAAAAGAGUGAAAUAAUUAUCGUAAUUUUAAAGUCAUUGAUUUUCUACAGAAAUAAACAACAACAUAAAAAAUAAAUUCACAUGAACUUCACAUCAACUAAAAGUCAUUUUCUAGGUAACAAAUAUUUAUAGGCGAACAAAAAAGUUGUAACGAAUAAUAUAAAUUUUUUUAAUUUAAAACUUGCAAAAUUUUCUUUCAAAAUAAACCUUCCUGCAACACUCGCCUGGCCCAUUUUAAGAACGGUUUGGCCUUAUUAUGGAAGUAGCAGAAUAUAGCAAGACCAAUUUGUAUAAAAAAAAAUCACUAAUUUUAUGAUUUUGCAAAGAUAGACUGUUUUUUAGAAUUUUAUAGAUUCGGUUCGAAAUUCUUGAAAAUUAAAUCAAAUAUUCUUACUUAUUUUUCUCCUUUUUUUUUUUUUUCUGUUGUUUUUUCUUUCCUCCAACCCUCCUCCACCUAGCUCCUUCGUAGCCAUCAGCGACGGUAAUGAAGGUAGCUCCUCAGUUUGAAUAAGAACAGAGCAGAUGGAGGUGAUGAGGGCGUGGCCGAGAUAAUACUUGUUAUCGCCCGUAAAGGUGAAGACGAAAACAUACCCGCACUUUUCCAAAAAAAGCCACAGAAAGUAAAAGAAAUAAUAAUAAAAAAUAAAAAUAUCUUUUUCUAUAGAAAAGAUCAAAAAUCAGUGAUGAAAGAAGAGAAUAUGAAAUAGCACCGUUAAAAUUAGGUUUCAUUAUUUGAGAAGAAAUUUGAACGAAAAUUACAUAUUUUGAGAUAAAAAAUUGUAUUAUCUCAUAUGAGAGUUACACGUUUUGAGAAAUAUUACACUAUUUUUUCUCCUCCUUUUCCUUCGCUUCGCAUGCUUCUUCCGUGCCCAUCUGAGGUCGACGACGCGUGGUGGAGGCGGAGGAAAGCGCCGCGAUGCCGGAGAAGAGAGCGGCGGAGAAGUGGGCCGGGUCGGGCCCUCUGUACGACGCGCCUGGCCCGUAGGCCAGCUGCGGUCGGCCGGGCCGGGCCAGCAGGCUUGCUUCUGGGAGGGUCGCGCCCGCUGCGGGACAGGCCAGGCCAGAAGGCCCUCUUCGGGGCGGGCCAGGCCUGAGCGCUCGCUGGCCCGCUGCAGCCGGGCAGGGCCCGCCCUCCGGUACCGGGUGGGGCAGGACGGGCCAGCGCAUCCGCAGGGCGUGGCGGGCCUCUCUCCCACAAUUGCUUCUCUCUUCUUUUUUUUUUUUUUUUUUUUUUUUUUUAACUUCUCUUCUCUGUCGAUGCACAAAGAAGAACAUAAAAAAAGAUGACAACACACCUAAGUUCGAAUNUUUUAACUUCUCUUCUCUGUCGAUGCACAAAGAAGAACAUUAAAAAAGAUUACAACACACCUAAGUUCGAAUCCUAGUUGAUUCACAUUUUCAGCUAAAUUUAUUUCCAAAUGAAAUAAACGAAGCGGGUAGCGUGCUACCAAUCUCUCAAAAAAAAAAAAAAUUACAACAGAAAUGCACGAAAUAGAAAGAAAAAAAAAAAAAAAAACACAACGAAUGUAAGAUUUUUUUUCGUAUAUCUCAUGGUCAUUUUAAAAGAAAUUAAUACUUAACUUAUUUGGAUAAAUCGCAAUCCGCACCUUAUGUGAAUCGAGUUGAAUUUCAACAAAUCAAUGUGGACACACCACAUGGCAAUAUUUUUAAAAAUAGAUUUCCAUUUUAAGGUAUUAUAUCAUAUUUUGGUUCUCGAAGAUGUCGGUGUACGGACUGGGAGGAUGGAUGUAAAUAAUCUUAACUACAAAACAGUGCUUCGUAUCACUUUCUGAAAAGAUUAAAAAUAAAACUGAAGUUCAAUUUAUAAUUUUUUUUUUUUUCUGAAAAUUGCAGAGGCUGAAAGGAGAAAAACCAUGGUCUGAUAGAGGACAGAUGCGUUGAUGGACCAGAUCGAGGCAAAGCUUUUUCUCUUGGAACUCUCUCAAAAUUUAGAUGAAUAGUCAAUUAAACCAUUCAUAGUCUUUAACUAAGAAAGACGGCAAAUGCAGCGCGCCGACCUCCGCUUUCUCGUGUUGAAGGCAAGAAGCCACCAAAUUGCAAAUGCUAGUUUUUAUCAAACAACAGCGUAGAAACUCAUAAUUUAUGGCACUUCCCAUAACUUCUAAUUGGAUAAUAUCAGAGAACUUUAAAAGUUUCACAUGGGAGAUAAUGUAAGUGUGUCAAACCCUUAUCUAUUGGAAGCACACUAAUACUAAUAUGAAAGUUAAGCAUUUAAAUAGAUGAUUUGUAUCAAACGAGUUGUUGGUAUUAUAUUUAGUACUAGAGCCGGAUUGGCAACCGAAAGUGUAAGAUAAAUUUAAUGCACCUUAUAAUUUUUAACUGUUUGUAUAAAUGGAUCUAACGAAAAUAUAAGAAUCUAAAUGACAAAUUUGAUCUGACGCGGAUAGCAGGAUGUGAAACGGAUUCAAGUGAUGACGCGUGCAACGGAUCAGAUUGGAACAUUUUUGCAUUUGACCUAUUUAAAUCAGAGGUGGAGGAAAUCCGAGGUAACGAUGUUGCGGGUCAAACUUCUGAUCCUUGAUGGAAGGUUAAAAAGAAAAGAAAGAAAAGGAUGGAGUGAAAGUCUGAUGUGCACCAUCGGGCUUGGCACUACUUUGCAUCGGUUGGAUUUAUGGAAGGUUACUGCAUUCCAGAAGCAUAGAUAGCUGGAUUGUUUCGUUGGCUUGGGGUAAUAAUAAUAAUAAAGUUCAUUGUUAGAACCAAGUGCCCAUUUCCUUUCUCCUCAAACAACAACCGAGAGAGAGAGAGAGAGAGAGAGAGAGAGAGAGAGAGAGAGAGAGAGAGAGANNNUAUAUAUAUAUAUAUAUAUAUAUAUAUAUAUAUAGAGAGAGAGAGAGAGAGAGAGAGAGAGAGAGAGAGAGAGAGAGAGAGAGAGAGAGAGAGAUAAACAAAAAGGAAAUUCCAGCAUAGAGAUUUUUUUUUUUUGGGGGGGGGAACAACAUUUGUAUUUUGUAUGCAGCAAUCAGCAGGUUGGCUAAAAAGAAGAGCAAACUCAUAAAAAGAAAGGAAAAAAAAAAGAACAGCUCAAUCUGAUGCAUCUCUAUCUUGUUUAAUGUAAAUAUUAGCUCCUAAUUUAAGGCUGUAAUUAGUUAAGAGUUUCCAUUUCAAAAACUAAUGAAGCCUCGGAAUGCGCUUUCAUUGUUGUAUUUUUACUGCUAGUGCACGGCUUAUGUAAGCUGAACUCAAUCCAUCAUCAGAGUAAGACCUGUUUGGAUGCGAGAAUAUUUUAUUCGAAUUAAUUUUUUGAUUUUACUUAAAAAAUUUAUAGUAAUUAGUUAAAAAAGAAUGUGAUGAAAUGACUAAAAUAGAAUACCAUAUCUUCAUAUCAUUUUUUAAAUAAGAUAAACUACCUCAUAAAUGAAAUAUGCUAUAGUACAAAAUUAUGAAUGUCAACUUAUUUUCAAUGAGUAAAUAUUAAACCUUUUACUUUCAAUCAUACAAGAAAAAUUUUUAUACUUAAUAAGCCAUCAGUAUACAACAAAUUCCGACGUUCUAAUAGAGCUUUGAAGGCAUGUUUGGGUGGAUGAAUCAGUUAUUCAAUAAUAACUUGUGCGCUACAAGUAUUCUCACAUGGUUGCAACCUUUAUUUUUAUUUUUAAUCUCUAGCAAAUUUCUACAAUUAUAAUUUGUUAGAGGAGUAAUUCGCCUGCAAUGCUAUAUAAUUUAUAUGAGAAAAGGAAUUGCCGAUAAGUUAACAAAGAAGAUGUGUUGAACAUAAUAAUAUUCAUGAAUAUAAACAAGACCACCGACCGUCCCUAGAGCAAGUGACAAAGGGCUUGGUGGUUGGCAUCCGAGACCCAAGUUCAAAUCCUAGUUGAUUCACAUUUCCAAUUAAGUUUAUUUCUAAAUGAAAUAAACGAAGCGGAUAGCGUGCUACCUAUCUCUCUCUAAAAAAAAAAAGAAAAAAAAAGAAGAAUAUAAACAGGACCUAAAUAUAUAAAAUUUAACAAUGGUGGAGAGUGAAUGAGCUUCUCAGUUCUAGACAUGAAAAUAUUGAUCUAAUUCCUAUGCAUAGGAAUUGAUAUUGCCAGAAUUAAUUUUAUUAUUUACAUGCCAAAACGACUUGUUGUAACUUGUCAAGAUACAAUUUUCCGGGAUGUUGAUCAAUUCAUGAACUAAUAGACGAUUAGUCAAUCACUGACCCUGUAGUUGGGCUGCUCUUUUAAAUAGUAGGAGAGAAUUUGGAUUGAUACUGCACCUGAUAAGAUUUGAUAGCGAUAUGUUAUUAAUUACUAAUAUUAUUAUUAAAUGAUAGUACUGUAAGUUUCAUCCUAACUAACAUAAUAAUUAUUGACAGGGAAAAUUCUCAAUUCGAAGGGACUCAAUAACAAAACAGGUUAUAAGUUAACAAACAAAUGUAGUUAACAAGUGAACAAACAGGAGUAGGUAAACCUAAACUACCCGAAGAUAAUUACCCGGCGAACCCUGCCGUCGUAGGAGACCGCGAGCAACAGCAAUUGAGAGAGAGAGAGAGAGAGAGAGAGAGAGAGAGAGAGAUGAGGAAAAGUAGUGGAUCCUCUUAAGAAACCAUAGCCAUAUAUCUGACACGUCCACCCUCAAUUUCCCCAUCACAGUGUGAAAAAUUAAAUCGAUAAAUAUAACCGUAGAAGCAAUUUCCGAAACAACCAACAUAUCUAAAAGAUGUAGAUCAAGAUCCAGAAAAUAUUCUAUCACAAUAUCGGAACCCUAAUUACAGGGAUGUCCAAUCCACAAUGAAUCCUAAUCACAUCAAAAACCAUCGUAAAACCUUCCCAAAUUCGAAUUCAGAAGAAUACGAAACUCUAUAUACCCUAAUCAGAGGAAUCAAAUGCACUGUAGUUAAAAAAAAAAAAAAAUGGAAACGAUCGUAAGGAUACGUACUUAUUAGCGAGAGAGGGGGGGGGCACGAAUUCGAUCCCGUUCCACAUCCUCCCCGAUUCAUCCCGUUCCCUGGGAAUCGGGAUCGGAGACUCUGUUCUCGUUCCCGUAGCUCCCGAUCGCCUCGAUCGGAUCCACAUCCUCCAUGAUCGUCAUCGACGUCCCGUUCCAGUUGCUGUACCCGUCGAUCGACUUGUUCUUGAUCCGCGCGAUGAUCGACUCGUCCUUGCUCGGCAUCUCGAUCUCUGCGGACGAUCCGUAACAGCCGAUCCGAGAGAUCAAAGAGGUCGCGAAAACAAGGCGAUCAGAGAUCAAAGAGGUAGCGAAAAGAGACGCGAUCGGAGAUCAAAGCGAUAGGGUUAGAGAGGGAGAAGAGGGGGGGNGGGUUUACCGGCGCUGGAGAAGAACAAGAGGACGGCGAAGCAGAGGACGAUGACGAGGGGGAUGAGGUGGAUGGCCCUCUCGGCGAGGCGCGACUGCGCCGCCUCCUUCUUCGCGGCGUCGGAUGAGGGGUCGUAGAGGGGGAGUUGGUCGACAUCGAGGGCGAGGCUCGACGAUCUCGCACCUCCGCCGCCGCCGCCCAUGGUGAGGUAGCUCCCCGAGCGGUGCAUCUCUCUCUCUCUCUGUGUUUCUCUCUCUAGGUUCUUGAGGGUUCUGGAGAGAAAUGGAUCGGAAAGGGGAGAGAAAAGGGGGGGUUUUAUAGUGGUGCGCUUUCGCUCCGCUUCGCUUCCGAUGGAGGGUAGGGGACGCAACGCGGGAAUUUGGUUUUUGGGAUUUCGCGUCGCAGAUCCAGGAAUGAUGGACCGAGUGCACCGUGGACCACUGUUCUACGCCGUGGACCACCGUUCUAAACCUAGUUAUAGUCUUAAACUUCGUUUGGAAUUGCGGAGAGAUAUGGAAUUGCGGAGAGAUUGCAUUAUAUACCGUGUCUCAGUACGAUAAAAAGAUUGCGGUCCGCAUAUUGCGAUGUGAUGAGUCGAUUAUGAUAUAUUUUUUUUAUGGUCCUACUAGAGAACGCAAAUGUAAAUCUCUAUAUUCUUUUACCCUAAUUCUAUUUUAUCUAAUAACGUCGGAUAAAACUCAAUACCGAACUAAGCUUUAUAGGUAGGAGAGAAAAAUAUCUUAGACAUAAUUUUAUAAAAAAUAUUAUCUAUACACUUAUUUAUUGGAGUAUAUUAAUUAUCCUACUCAUCAAAAAGUUUAUUGAACCUUUUUAAAAUAUAUAUUUUAAGACUAAUAAAAAAACAGUUGCCUUUUUAUGAAUAAAAUAUUAGAUUUAUAUUUUAUAAAUUGAUAUAGAAGUAGUAUUGCUCUAAUUUUAUACACAAUCUUUACACACAUUUUCGCCUACCUCUAAUUAUAUAAAAAGUCUCUGGAAAUUGUGUUAACAAUAUUUAUAAAUAAUCUAGUACUGUUACAUUUCUUGCAAAGGAAGUUGUACUACGAAUUUUAGAUGCAUUUAAACCAAAAUUUGAUUUUUCUAAAUGAAACUAUAAAAGUAGCCUCCACAGCACUUCAAAAUCUUUAUUUCAUUAAUUAUACUUUCUAGACAUCUUUAAUAAGUAAUAGAAUUUUUUUUUUUUUUUUUUGAAACUAAUUGAUAGUUAAAUAAUAAUUUUUGAAAAUUGCGAUUUCCGAACAUGUUAGAUGCCCAAAGUUAUGUAGAUCACAUUUCAUUGUUUAAAAUCUUACUGCAAAAAUUAUAUAACUUUACAGUUCAAAAGAAUAAGAACUGCAUCUUAAUCUAUUAGUUCUGACUCCAGAGGAGUAUUUUGAAGACGGGAUCGACUUCUACGGGAAUAUAUUUAUGAAAUUUGAUCUCAUUCUCAUAUUCUAAUAGUAGUAGUAGAUUGUUUGAGAUGAAUUUUAAGUUAUGACUUAAAAAAAAAUAAUAACAAAUAAACAAAAAGAAACUAUUCCAGGGUGCACCAUCACGGUCCACGGAACAAUUUCUCGGCAGUUCAGCGGUUUCGUCGGCUCCUGGAAAGUCGAGUUCAGAGCCUCAGAGGUGACUGAGAUCCGGGUUCGUCGGAGUAGGAAUGGUACUCGUUGGUUGCGGUCUACGAAAAAUACUUGGUGGUCCGCGUCCUGCGACCCAGCAUUAUCAAUGCACGAAACCUAAUAAUAAUAAUAAUACCAACUCAUCUAUUUCCCACUUCAGAAGCAAUUAUUAAUGAUGGGAAAGUUAUACUUUGUAACGCAAGCAUGUUUUAAUUUAUUAGGCUUCGUCUGGUUUGGAGGUAAGUAAAAACUAGUUAUUUCAAAAAUAUGUAUGAAUUUAAGAUUAAGUCUGUAAUACAUUAAUUUUAUGUUCGAAUGAAAAUUGAGUUCAGGAUAAGUAAAAUAGCACUUAGAUAGAUAAGAUAAAAUAAAAGGAAUAGUAGGUAGUUAUAAAUAAAAAAAAAUGGUAUUGUUCUUUAUAUUUGAAUUUAAAUUUUUAAAUUUUAUAUUUAAAAUUUAAAGUUUAAAUAGAGUCCGGCUGAGAUACUAUCGAUAGCAUGAAGCAUUUGGUACUAUCAAUUUUUUUGCCGUUAGAUUUAUCUUUUUUAUUAUUUUCAUCCGUUCGAUUAUACUAUUCAACCAACCACCCACUCAACCCUAGGGACCCACGUCAUCCUAACUACACAUCUUUUAAUCCAAGAUCGAAAAUUUAAUAGCAUCAAGUUAUUGGUAUUAUUAAUAGUAUUACAGCCUAGUUCAAUUUAAAUAUAUAUCUUUAAAAAUUGAAAACUUCAAAAUAAAAUUUAAAAUUUUAAAUCUUCAAAUUCAAAAAUUUUAAAUUUUAAAUUUUAAAUUUAAGAUUAAAUAUAAAUUUUAAAAAAAUUAAAUAUCAAAUUUUAAAUUUUAAAAAAUUAACAAUAAUAAUAUAUAAUUUAAAAUUUAAAAUUAUAAAUUUAAUUUUAAGAUUACAAAAUUUUAAAUUUAAAAAAUUUAUAAUUUAUAAUUUAAAUUAUACCCCAGCCAAACACCACAGUAUAAUUUUUAAUUUAAAAUUUUUAAAUUACUAUAAUUAAAUUUACAGUCUAAUUUUAUGGACUGAAUAUCAAUAUGCCCAUAAAGGAACAAUAAUAUGAUAUUUUAAUUAUUAUCACAUCAUUAAUUACAACAUCAAUACAUCACUUUCGUAUUAACAAUAUAUGACCAUUCAGUCAAAUUAAUUAGACGGUAAAACUGGAUUGCAACAAUCUAGAAAGCAUGAGCCCAAAAUUAUAAUAAAUUAAAAUUUGAGGAUAAAGCUGUCGCGCUAGCCGUAUAUUAUUGACUACUAGAUUGUCAGAUAUGAUAGUUAAUGAUUGAUUUAUUUUUCAAAUUUGAUAUCUAUAUUAGAUGUCAUAUUGAAUAAUUGAAAUUAAACCAACUACUAACAGUUAUAUGCAUAAUAAGAACUUACUAACAAUAUAUAAAAAAUCUUUGUAAUGUAGUAUUAAUCAUGGUCUUAUAGUCGAAAAAAAUUUAUUAAGAUAAUCGUUCUCUAUCAGCUUAACCUUUUAGAGCAGCCAAUUGUUUCAAAUGGUAGAAGAGGAGAAUGUGCUGAUCUACUUGGACCUGAUCUAGUUGAUCCAAACAUCUCUACAGAGUUAUAAUCACAGAUGCAAAUUUCUUCCCCAGAGAAAAGCUUCCCACACUUGAAGUGUUACAAUCCCAAAUUAGAAAGGAAGAGUUAUUUCCCCACCUCAAUAGAUUAGCACUUCCUGCAAUCAUGAAUCAAAAAUCAGAGUUGGGUUCAGCAUCCCGAAAUGUUACAAAAUGCUAAAAAGGAAAGGAAAAGACAUAACUUACAAUUUUUUAACAGAACACAAUACUCUUCUCGUCAGAAAUUUCGCUGCAAGUGCUAAUUCAUUUGGAAGGUAAAGUUGUUCUGCAACUCUUGGAGAGAUCUGUUCUACAAAGUUUUGAUUUCGACGACUCUCCUGCGCAUUAGUGGCUCACUUUCAAAACCAACAAAUAUUAUGCACAAAACUUCAGAACCAGUAAACUGUAAAGCGAGCAAUAUUAGAACAUGCAUUAUUGUUGCAUUUUUUUAGUAGAAUAUCAAACUAUAUAUUGCCACCUGCAUAACUAGUACUCAUUUUCUCAAACAAAGUCAUCGUAAAGUUCAUUCCGGUUCAUUUCCUACCAGGGUACCAUCCACACUACAACAAACACACAUUUGGGCAACUUAAUUGCAUGGCGGUGUUAGCGAAAAUUUUCUAGGCACAAAUAGUCAAGUAGGUAUUAUCACCAUGAGCAAAACUAGAAGAAAAAUUUUCUGGUACGAACAUCACUUAGGGGCUCUGAGAUGAAUGUCAAGGUAAAUAGAUGAAUAUGGACUUCCCCAAAAGCAAGAAAAUGGGAACAAGGAAUCAGAUCAACUGAGUAUGCUCAAGUCAUAUGAAUGAAUGGAUAGACCAACACAGCUAUUUGUUCUAACUAAAUACAGUACUUGCAAUGUACAGAGAUUGCUUUCACAAUAGUGCUUACCUCCUUUAACCCAUCAAUUUCGAACUUGGGUCUCCAUCUUCAAUGUGGUAUCAGGAUCUUCUCUCUCCGAUGAGGGAAUAGGAGUUCUUGCCCACAAUGCCGGUUGAAGCAUGUUGACUUUCAUAUAGCGGAAGCCGAGUUUUCGGCUAAAGGCUUUUCACUAACAAGAAUAUCAUAUGUCGUAUCAUCAGGCAGAAGGCCUCUGUCAAGCAUUUCGUCGUGCAACUGAAAGGCCUCUUGCAACUUGCCUUCCCUAAAGAAUCCAUUUAUCAAUGUAUUAUAUACAACAACACUCGGAGGCACUUUGAAUUCAUCCAUUUCAUCCAGAAUUUUCCGAGCUUCUUCUAAUCUUCCAUUGCGGCAAAGACCAUGUGUUAAUGCUGUGAAAGUGAUUUCAUCAGGAACAUUACCCUUUAAUACCAUCUCAGAGUAAAGUUCUGAAGCCAAUGGCACAUUACCAACUCUAAGCAAUCCAUCAAUUAGGGUUGUGUAAGUGUCUGUAUCACAAGAAGUACCUUCUUUAACCAUUCUUUUGUGCAGCCGAAUAGCAGCUUCCAUUUCAUUCCGAUUUUUAUACUCGGUGAUGAGACUGUUAUAUAUAAUUGCACUAGGUUUCAAUCCAACAUUGCGCAAGUCAUCAAACAACUUAAGUGCACCAUUUAAGUUCCCUUCUUUGCAAAAACUAACAAUAAGAGAAUUAUACACAGCAAUAUCCAAUUCAAGGCCUCGUCGUUUCACCUCAUUAAGCAAUUUCAAAGCAAGAUCACUGCAACUUUUCUUACAGUAACCAUCAAUGAAAGUGGUGAAUGUGAUUAUACUCGGGGAUAUACCUUUCUCGAGCAUUUUUUGGUAAGUCGAGAAUGCUGAAUUCAUCAUGCCGCCUUUUACAAAGCCAUUAAUUAUACUAUCAUAAGUCAUCCGACUGGGAAUAAACCCUUCCUCGAUAAAUUUAUCCAGCAUUUCGUUAACUUCUGAUAUUCGACCAACCAUACAAAGGCCAUUUAUUAAGGUGUUAUAUGUAUAUUCGUUACAAGCAAUGUUUAAUGCACGCAUUUCAUUAAGAAGAUUAUAAGCCCUAUCAAAAUCUUUUUUUUUUAUGUGUCCAUCCAUCAGAGUAGUGUAUGUGACAACAUUAGCUUUAACGCCACUCUGAGACAUUUCAUUAUAUAAAAUAGUAGCUGAAUCCAUGUCACCUUGCUUGCCAUGCCCAAAGAGCAAACUAUUGUAAGAUACAACACUCGGUUUUACUCCCCUUUCCUUCAUUUUAUCCCAUAUAUUCAAUGCUUCCUUCAAUCUACCACAUUGGCAAAGCCAAUGCAUAAGAAUAUCGUAAGUGAAGACAUUCGGUAUACCAAACCCAGUUGCCUCAUCAAACAAAUCCAAAGCCUCUUUAAAUCUAUUAUCUUUGAGAAAGCACCUUAUCACCGUAUUAAGGUUAAACACAGUAGGCGACAUGCCCCUCUCUUUCAUUUGGCAAUAAAGCUCGUGGGCUUUCUCUGUGUUUCCGUUUCUAUAACAACCUUCUAUCAAAACGGAGUAUGUAACAUUAUUUGGAACAAUGCCUUCCUCAAGUGUACUAGAGAAUAAAUCUAAAGCGCUAGUUAAAUCUCCCUGAGCACAAUACCCUUGCAUCAAACUAGUUGAAACAACUAUAUUAGGUGGCAGGCCAUUAGCGAGCAUUUCACCUUUUAAACUCAACGCUUUGGUAAUGUUUCCUUGUUUGACACAAGCUCCGAUAACAGAAUUAUAUAUGAACUCAGUAGGAACAAAGCCAAGCCCUUUCAUCUCGUCCAAUAGAUCACAAGCCCGCGUCAAAUCGGACAUCCUGCAUGCUGAACGGAUAAUGGCAGCGUAAGCCCGCACAUCCGGUUUGAUUCCCAAAUUGACGAGUUCCUUGAAGUACGCUUCAGCUUCUUCCGGUUUCUCGUCCUUUAAACAAGCAUUCAUCAUUAUAUCAAGCGUUCGAAUGUUAACUUCCAUUUCCUUUUCCCGCAUCUCCCUGUAACACUCUCGAGCUCUCUCCGUACAAUUCGACUUAACCAUAGCUGUCAACAAAUUGUUUCUUGAAUUAACAUCAGGAAUUACACCGUUUUCGACAAUUCGGUGAAAAGCUUCCAUUGCUUCGUCCAUCCGACUAGAAUGUGCGUAACAACUCAGUAAGUAGUUAAACGAGCGAGGAUCAAAAUCGCACCUUUUUGAAGUCUCGAUCAGGUGAUCGACAAUAACAUUUGGGCGCCAGCUAGAAUUGCUCAAAAUGGAGUUUUUGAGCAAGCCUAGGGCGCCGGAAAUCCAGUUGCAUCGCGCGAGGAUAUGAAACGAGAUGCAGAGAGGAUUGAUACCCAUAAAUCCUCUAUGCAAUUUGAGGUACUUUGAAACCGAUUUGGGAUCGCUCUGGUUGUUUACAAGGAACUCGAUCGCACGCUUCUCCGACGGCGUGUUCAACGGAUCGAAAGCAGCGUAAAGUAGCCGAGUCGAAGAGAUUGAAGGGGGGGAUUGGGCAUUUCGAGGAUCCUCCGAAGUGGGUUCGGGAGAGGAAGUUACCUGAAGUGGACUCUCGCUGUGAGUCGAAUCGUGCGGAGGAAGAAGAGAAGAGGUAGAGGCGGAGCGUGCGAAGGGGAGAGGGCGCCAUGGAUGGAGAGGCAAUGACCUCCGUAGGGCAUUCAUGGAGGGAUCGGGGGAUGGUAGUGGGGAGUUAGGGUUUAGAGCGAAGAGGGGGAGGGGGUUUUAGGGUCAUGGGGUGGUCGGAGGAGGAAGAAGAGGCGGGUGGGCGGAGCGGGUAAAGUUGAGUUGCAUGAUUUGAAUCCGCUAUAGUUUCGAAUUUAAAUAGCGUAUAAAUAAGUAUAAAUAGUAUAAAUAUUUCAAAACAAUAUUAUAUAAUAAUUUUAAAUUAAAUUAAUAUGAAAAAAAAUAUUUAUUCUUGUUCUUGUACAUUAAACAUAGCAAAGAAAAUUCUAAAGCCUUUUCUAUGGUAGGACGGAAAGAAGUGAUUUUUAAACUCAAAAACUCAGAAGCUCCGAUUUAAAAUGCUUCUGUUUGGAACUUUUAAUUCUUUAAUAAUGCUGAUGAGGAAAAUCGAAUAUAAUAUUUUUUUUAACUCUUCCUCAAAUAUACAAAUUGAUAUUGUUUUACAGUUAGAAGUGUUUGGUUUCACGAAAGGACGUAAAAAUUAUUUUUUGAAAAACAAUUAUGAGAAAUACUGUUUUUCAUGCUUUGUUUUUUCGGACAAAAAAUUUAAAAAAUAUUAACACUACUUUUUCAAAAAUUCUAAUAAAAAAACCUACUUGUUUAAGAAACCAAACAAACAAAAAAAUUUAAAUAAAGUUAUUUUCUCAUAUAUUUUCGGAAAACCAAACACCCCCUCAGUUCUUUUAUUAAUUUUCCAAAUAUCAUGUGCGAUUUUAUUGUAGUUUUUUUUCGCCAUAGUCCAUCAAGCCAUUAUUGCAUGUGCACACAAGUAGAGUUACCUUAUCAUAACAAUUUCAUUACAUUUUUAAGAAUGAAUUUAUUAGUCUCAACUAUAUUUUUGGAAGUCACAGGCCGUCUCACAAGCAGCUGAAAGUUGAGAUGAGAUUAUGCCCAACGUAAAUUCAUUCAUCACUUUGUUCCUGCCAUGGGUUCAGCAUGCUACAAAGCGAAAGCGAAACAUUUUACCUCAUGCCAACAAAUAUGUAUUUGAGGUGCAGCACCAGUAGGAUAAUCCGGAGACUAAUACUGUUGAUUAGUACUUAAACGUGCAUCGGCACUCAGAAUUAGUUAUUCGUCGUGCUCCGUUGAGAGAUUUAGGAUGAGAAGUUCGCAGGUUCCGCCAAUUGCGGUAAUCUGGAAAUGGUCCUCUGUAUGCUGUUGUACUCCAUCCGCAAUUAUCCCGUUUACCUGAUGAGUAUAAAAGUAGUAGAGUUUGGCAGGUUUAGCUCUUCGCCAAGUACCAAAUAACAUGCUCAAAAUCUGCAAUCAGUCAAGCAAGUAUAAACUAAAACUUGUGAGAUUUGGAUCGGCUUGUGGAAAAGCUUAUCUGCUUUAGAAGCAGAAACACAUAUUGCAAAUAAAAAAAAAACUUAGAGAUUUCAGCUGCAGUGGGAUAUUCAACACGAGCUUCUAAGGCCAAAAUCAGAAGCUCGAACAGUCAAAUCUGACGUUUGUAGUGGCAGGAAACAUUUGGGGAUUUCAAGAUUUGCUAGGCCUUUCUUUGAACACUUUAGUCGCACAACAAUUUUGCGAAAUCUCCAGCCAGUCAAAACAAGCCUAAGUACAGAAUGCCAUGAUUAAAAAAGAAAAAAAGAAGAGCACAAAUCAAACCUGAUUUCUGUCUGGCAACAAUGAAAUCCACAGCCCGCAAAGACUUAUGCAGAACUGCCCUAUUUGUGUCUGACAAGAUAGGCACUUGUGCAAUGACUGACUUUAGGUAGGUUCCGAAAAUAGAUACUGAAGCAAGGGAGCCACUACUGCUACACUCAUACUGUUGCCCAACAAGGCAUACCUGCCAAAAUAGGCCAUUUUAAGCCUUUUCAAAAUGACGCUAUACCCAUAAAGAUAAACCAGAGUUGAACUUGAUGAAGAAUCAGAAUUCAAAUGGAUUCCAUAGCAGCACAUAAAAAUGACAAAGUAUCCCUUUGGCACCUUACUUUAGGCCCUUCAACCAUUUAGUUACCAGACAUCUAAUCAAAUUCUAGACCACCAGCUAUCCUUAAAACUAUCUUAACCCUGAUUUAUAAGGAAGGUAUAAUGUUGGUAAGAAAUUCAAGGCAUAAAAAGUAACUAACCGUUGUCUAAGGCCGAUGUGACCUGGGAAGUCGAAAUCCUCAGGUAAAGAGUGCAAAUUGGCAACCUGAUGUGUAAAUCAUGAAUUGGUUAAAAAUUUAGCCAAAAACAUGUGAAGAUUUGAAGUGUACUAACCUCUCGUGGUGUGAAAAAUCGUAGGAACAUCUCCUUCCCCGAAGAAAUUUCAGGGUUUUCUUCUGGCUUCAAUUUGGAUUUCUGGGAGGUAAAAUAAAAAAAUUUAGCAGGAACAAUAACUAUUACAGAUGUUUCUGAAAAACUGGGUGAAAAUAAAGAAGAAAUAUUAGGGAAUUGUCCCACCUCAGAAGUCGCCAGUAAGGAGCCGGUUCCCUUCACAUAACGGUAAUAGCUUUUGGUAAAACAACAGCAGCGUUUAGAUUCAGGGUAUACAAUAUCUGGUUCAAGGUUAAAGAUUGCCUGAACGUGACACAAACUAGGCAACUAGUUUUCCAGCUACAUCAAAGUAAUGUUGAAAGUUUUAGAAAAAAAGACCAAGGAUACCCAUGGCAUUUCCCCAUCUCUCAAUCAAGCUUAGUGGGACAACAUACUCAUGCAGAAAACUUUGCUUUUUAAUGCUUCCUUUUACUUCUUCUCCAUGUUGACUUGUGUUGGUUUCAAUAGUAUCAAUUUCUUCAAGUGCAGCUCUAUCGGCCAAAACAUCUUCACUUCUGAAUUCAGAAGCCACUCCUACAAACUCCUGCUGAUGGCUAUACAAACUCUCUUUUUCCAAAAAACUUCUAAUUGGCUCACAAACUGUUUGGAGUUCCUCCUUAUUUUCAACAGCGUGCUGGCUUGUCUCUGUUAUUAUAGUACUCUCAGAUGUUCUGCAUGGAGGUGUCCAAAGCAGCUUGUUAUCGGAAAGUGAGUUCUGAAAGGAUAAAGGUUUUCUUUUCGCCUGCAUAUAUUACAAUGAAUUGAAAGAAUGGGCCCGACGCUGAAAAGGACAUUGAAACACAGUGGUUGAAUUAUUCAACAUUCUUACAAAAACUAUAAUACCAAAGAGAAUGAGAUACCAGGCAAAAGUAGCGAGGUCUCGAAUAUGGAAUUCCAAAUUGCAAUGGGCUUAAGAUAUAUUCUUGAGUAACAAAACCAAGCCUGGCAAGAACUUCCAUCAAUUGCUUGUGUGUGUCAGAUAUCUGCAACAAAACAUGAAUAAACUUCUCAUCUAUUCGUUUAAACUAGAAAACUCAGCAAAUCGAAAGCUUUACAGCAUAAUGUUUUACAAAAUUCACAAACCUCAAAUCCAACUACAUUUUCCACAAAUAACAGUAGUGGAGGCUGAAGCAUGUGUGGCAUAAGGUCAAGAAUCUUAAUGAAUGAAGAUGCCCGAGCAUCAGCUGAAUGUUUUUUCAGACCUAACAGUAGCAACUCUAAAUUAGACCCAAUAAAAUCAAAAAGUUGGAAGAAUCACAAAAAGUUAAAAACAAAGUCAGAAGAUAAACCCUGUCGCGUGUAUGGUUGACAUGGAGGGGAAAGAAGCCAUCCGUGUGCCCUGUACUUGUCUAGGUCAGCAGCAGUAAGUAUUUGGAUGUUUCCCUUCAGCCAACAAAACCAUUUAAGUUCUACUUUACCAAUUUACCAAUAUAUAAUGAAGGCUACAAUCCCCAACAAUUUCCAACAAUAUAUCUAAAGUUAACUUUAUAAUUAUAGUAACAAAAACAAUAACAUAUAUGGUGAGAAUAAGGCCAAGUUUGGGAAUGCUUCCUCUACGGCAGCCACUUUGAUACUUCAGAGCUCCACAAAUCCAAAAGCAAAGUGCAGCUCCGCCCUCUUUGUAGCAACCAAUGAUCAUGAGAUAAUGGUGGGAUCUUGGGUUGAGAUGCUGAGUGCUUCAUGCAAGAUUCUACCAUACGAUAGUUUCGAUUGGAUAAUAGGAUAGUGUUUUUCAAUUCCGCGGAGCAAUAAAGCAUCAAACCAACUGCUACAGUGGAAGCAUUCCUAAACAAGGCCUAAGUUGCAUUGAUCAAUCAAUUCCAAAUAAGAAAGCAUUUUUAUGUCGUUUACACCCAACUAUGCCCCAAAGCCAAUCCUUUGAGAAGAUUAAAAUUAAUUUAGCACAAAAAAGUACACCAAUUUCCUAAGAAAGCAUAGAAACUUCUCUCCGAAACAGAGAUUAAAACUAGAUCUCUAAAAACUAAAGGCUAUCAUUAGCGUUACAAGAUUUGACAGACCAAAAUUUGUUCAUCAGUGUAUUUCAUCUUCGUUAUUUCAGUACUUCAAAAGUGCUUUAUAUUCGAAGGAGAAAAUCAUAUUACAACAGGAAAAAUAAAUAAUCAUCAUUAUUAUAACCAUAAUUACACCAUCCAUAAUUACACCAACCAGAAUUCUUACUAUCAACCAGCAAAUUAUCACAAAAUCACACUCGAAUUCGUUUCUAUUCAGAAUAAUUGCUACUGUUCAGAGAAAAAUCCAACGCAUCGUAUAAGAAUGGAACCUGGAAAGGGCGAUGGCCAAAGUUGUGCUCGUACACAUCGUUGGCGCGAUCGUUGAUGUCGAACGCCUCCACCACCUCUCCCCGAACCCCGGCCUUGAUCAAAGAAUACCUCUACACGAUCCAACAAUGGCGAAUUCGAAUCACGGAGAAGGAGAGAGAGAGAAUGGAAUGAGAGAGAGAGGAAACCCUAGAUCGAGGAGGGAUUUGCACGUACCAUGGCGCCGAUGCCGCUGUAGAACUCGAGGAUCCUCCACGGCUCCUCCAUUGCCCUGCGACUCGCACUCCCCCAAAGUCGAUCGAGUUUUGUUGAAUUUGCGUUCGCAGAGCGAAGAACGUGACUGGAGUAAAAUACGUGCCGGGUCGGGUCUAGUUUCGGGUCCGGUUAUAUUUGCUUAUCGGGUACACCUGGCUUGGGUCGAAUCGGAAAUAACUCCGACGCCUCUAUAUUUUCUUUUUUUUUAAAAAAAAAAAUCACUAGUUUGAGACAAGAAUUUGGAUCAACGUUUUGUAUGACCACGAACGCUAAAAUUUAAAACAUUAGUAAAUUUAAUAAAUCUAACAACUACUUGACUAGCAUAGUUAGUUAAAUUUUCAUGUCAUUUUAAAAAUAAGAUAAUUUCUAAUUAUUCUUAUCAUUAUUUUAUUUUAUUAGAGGGGGAAAAAUUAUAAGUACUUCUAAAAUUUUAACCGUCCUAAACACGAAACCAAUAUACUUUUAAAUAUUGUAAUUCCAAAUUAAAUUUUUAUUAUUUAGUAAAUAAUUGUCCGUUGGGUAGAAAUAAUUUUUAGCUUCCAUAUUUUUUUAUUUGCUAUAAAACUUGCUAACUUGUGAGUGUAUAUUUUUUUUGUUUUUUGGGUGCAUAUAUUGUGAUAUUUGGACAUUUAUUGAAAGAGAGGAGUGAUCUUUAUUGCUUGAUUUUACUUUUCAAUCAAUUGUUCGGUUACUAUUAUUUUUUAGUGGACGAUGUAUUUUUUCAGUACGUUUUUCUUUCCUAUUAUUUAUAGUUUUCGCUGCACCUCCUAUUAAGGAUUGUUUUUUUUCCCAUAUCUGGUAUGCCACGUUGGAUCAUUUGAAUUUAAUUAAUCCUAUUAAAUUAUGCAAGUUGGAUUUUUAAUAAAAAAAUAUAAAAAUUUUACAUUAUUUUAUAAUACAUAUGAAAUUUAUGUUGGCUUUUUUAUUAUUGAGCUUCGGAAUGCAAAUGGAUUCAGGGUGGUGGUUCUCCCGCUACGAUCCAUUUCGAAUGGGACAGUAAAUAAAAAUAAAAACUAUAAAAAAAAUAUAAUCCAUUCCAAAUCCGCUCCGAUUUGCAAGUAAAUGGAGUGGGAGGCAGGAGACAUUUUUCGUCCUUCAAAAUGCUUCUAUUCGUCAAAACUUCGCUCCCGCCUCGAUCCGCUCCGAAUGAGACAGUAAAUAGGAGCUAAAAAUAAAAUGAAAAAUAAUCUACCCUAAGUUUACACCGUCCUGACAAGAAAUGAAGUAAGAGGUGGGAGAACAUUUCCGCCCUUGGAUCCGUCUCAUUUGCAUCCCUAAUUAGGCUAGAAUAAGUUCAGCUUUUUAUCCGGUGAUAAUAGACCUAGGAGAGUAAUAAGUUGAGUUUGAUGAGUCUAAUAAGUUGAGUGGAUCUGCGAUUCAUAAGAGACUUAAACGGUAAGAGACUCAACAAACCCAAUUUACAGGCGGGUUGAGUCGGAUCGAAACCCGCGAGCUCUGUGGUUGAGCCCUUAAAUGCGAUAAGUGCGUACUUUCUACGAGUUUUUUCGGAAUAAUUGGUUAGCGCAUAUAAUCUAUAAUUUAUUUUUAAAAAAAUUUUAUAUUAGAUAUUUUUUUUUACGUAUAUUGUUCUCUGAAUUUUGUACCGCUGAAAUCUAAUUCUACGAAUUUUUUUAUUCAAAAAAACCCGUUGAUCUAAAUCAAGCUCCCCUCUGAGACACCUCAGCACGAAUCUCCACGCACACCACACGCCACACGAGGCACGUGCGACCGCUCCACCACUCACACGAUUGCAACCUCCCACGAGGCCACGAUCCCAUCCGUCCAUCCAUCCAUGGAUCCACCCCCUCUCACACUGUCCCUUGUUUUCUCACUCCCCGUAAAAUACAAAACCCCACAAGCUCAAAUAAUAGAGAGAGAGAGUAGAGAGAGAAAAAGAGGACACACGAGUUCAAAUCCAAAGGGGCGACCUGAGAACUCCGUAGGUGGUGGCGGCGACGCGAUGUGGCGGAGAGCCUCCUCCCACCUCCAAACCCUAGCCGUGCUCCGAUCCACCCUCCGCCGCGAUCCACCCCUCAUCCGCCACCGCGGCGGCGUAGCCCUCCUCUCCUCCGCCGCGCUCCGGCGAACCUCGCCCCUUCUCGCCCCCGAUUCCGGUGAGAUCUCCAUCUCCCUCUCUCCGAUCUAAUCCCUCCUCGUUGCCUUCUCUUUGUUCCGAUCGCUAUGGAGAUUUGUUGCUCGAUUCGUGAAGGCGAUGCCCCGGCGAAGAAGAGGGUGGAGGACGUGAUGCCGAUCGCCACGGGGCUCGAGCGCGAGGAGCUCGAGGCGGAGCUCGAGGUGCGCCUAGAUCGAGCUCGUUGGUUAUUUGUGUUUUGUUUCUUUCCAAAUGGCUUGGGAUUUAGGGGAAUUUGUUAGUUGUUGUUGAUGGAUUGAUUGUUGUUUGUUGUAGGGGAAGAAGCGGUUCGAUAUGGAUCCUCCGGUUGGACCGUUCGGAACCAAGGUGUGUUAGUUUCCUGAAUCUGAAUCUUCCAAUUCGCUAUUUAUCCACAAUUUGAUGUCUUCUGUAUUUGUGAAAUUUAUGUGAAUUUCAUGGGAUAGAAAUUGCAAUUUAGAUUGUCUGUGCUUGAUUGUGUUUGCUUUAGGACUUUAGAUAAACGUAGUUUCUCAGUGUUGAUCGAAUUAAUAGUUGGAAAAUUGUACUCAUCCUUUUCUUUCUUCAAAUGCUUGUGUAGAUUAUUUAGGAAUUAUGAUGAUGAGCUUUGGGCCUUCUCUCGUAUGCCUAAAUGAGGUGCAUCAGAACUAUUAAGAUUUGAUACAAGAUUGGUGGUUAAAGCCUUGCACCUCAGAACUAUUAAGAUUUGAUACAAGAUUGUUGGUUAAAGCCUGGAGCACAACUUAAUAUUUGAAAGGCAGUGUUCAAUGGCUCUUAACCUAUCUCAGGUUUUAGACAUGGGCUUUAUAUCCUUGCCAUAAGUAAAAUAAGACAAGAUAAAUGAGCUACAAUGAAACUCAUAUGCUAACUAGCUUUUAUGAAUUCUUUUGUCUUAUUUCCUGGAUACGGAAAGACAGGAAGAGUCUGGAUGAAGGGAAAACAAUAGUGUAGGGAGUUCUCUUCAUAUUUGGGGCACAAAUAAACUGAAGAGUUUCAAGGAAAACUCCAAUUAAGACCAAGAUCAUAAAGAAAACUCUACCAGUCAUGAUUUUGUUCGUCAUGUUACAUAGUCAAGAUCAAGUAUUAUCUAACCCCAGCUAAAUCAGCUGCCAAGGUUACAAAUUUUUAGCUUAAUCAUCUUUAAGUAUAAAUUAAGACAACGGUUUUAAGUAUUAGUAGAUUUAUUGUUUACAUUAGUUGAUUUAUUUAAUUGUAAUUUGUUACUUGAGUCGUUGAGUUAAAAUGCUAUAUGGAAAUUCAUAUCCUUUGUAUUGCCACAAUCAGCUCAACCAAUCAAAUCAUUUUGGUGGCAGCAGCUCAUUUAAUUUGAGCUAGAUAACUAGGUGGUAGUUUUUCUAUACUGGCUUGAGCUUGGUUCGAUGAUCUUGCUAUUACAAAGUUAGUUGUAACUGGUUGGUGGGUUUUAAGCAAGCUUCACUUGUUUAGGAUCAGCAAUUAGAGGCACAUUUGGCAUUGUGAAUUUAUUUUUAGGCUCUAAAUUUAUAGGUGUAUUUUGCAUUGCCACUUUGUUUUCCAUUUUCUAGGAUUGUUGAUUGUUUUAUAUUAUUGAUCAACAUGUUUGGCAUUGAUUGUUAGUUUGGCUCCUUUUUUCUUUUUCCCCCCCUUCUUAAGGAACAUAGUUGUAACAUUUUUUUGUCAUAAAAACAUGGGUUGUUUUUGCAAGCAAAGAGGCAGCGACAAAUUUAAAGGUGUAGUUCAAUACAUUUUAAUAUUUAGUCUUCUUAAAAUUACGACAUAAUAACUAUUGUAGAUGCAUUAUAAGGAUAUGUUUAUAUGCAGUGAUUUGUGUGGAUUAGAGUUCUGUUUUGUCAUUGGAAGGUUAUCUUCCCUUUAAUACCUUUUUUGAUAUUUAGGGCUUGUUUGGUUCAUCCAUUUGGGGUAUGGAAUGAGAAUCAGUUUGAUCAAAUCCGGUUAAUUUUGUUUGGUUCGCAUGAAUCGGUUUGAGAUUCUUAUUCCGGACUGGAAUGGGAAUGACCCAUUAGCCUUCAACUUGAUUCCGGUCUUCUAGCCCGGAUUGAGAUUUCAUUCCGGAAGCCCACUAAGUUUUCGAAAUCCAUGUGACCAUCUCACCCUCCUUCUCUUCACCCCUUUCUCAUCAAAAAAAAAAAAAAAACCUAUCCUCUCUCAAAAUCCUAUCCCUAACCCACAUCAAUAAAAGUUUUUAAAAAUAAAUUUGAUAUUUUUUUUGGAAAACUUAUUAGAGAAUAGUAUUAUAUUUUUCAUAAAUUUUAAAUAAUAUAAAUUUAUAUUUGAGAGUAAAAUUAGUAUUAUAAUAUUCUAUAAUUUUUUGAGUUUAUACGAACCAAACAAUGAAAUGUGAAUAACUCAUUCCAAUUCCCAAUCCACAAAUAAACCAAACGUCUUGGGGGAGUGGGCCAUUCCAAUUACCAUUCCAAUUCAUUCCCAUUCCAUUAUCCAUUCCAAUUCCAUCUUUGAACCAAACAAGCCCUUACUGUCUAGCGACUUGUUUGAUUAAUGGAAGCGAUAUAUGUUUGGUACAAGUCUGGUAGUCAGCUUUCUGUGAUUACUAACACUGGAAAUUGGGCCCGUGUUAACUGUAUUUUCAUAUGAUUUAGAAUAUUUUAUUGCAUUCAUCUCUUGAUACUUGUUUUAAGAUUUGAAGAUACUUAGAUUAUUGUUUCUUCCAGGUAUCUUACUUGUAUUGAUAAUAUGUAGUGGCUCCUUAAUUUCUGCAACACACCUCAGGGCCUGUUUGGCAAACUCGUAAUACAGAGUAAUAAGUUAGAUUGCUCUGUUUCUUAAAAAAACUCCUUUUUUCCUAGUUGGUCCAUUUGGAAGGUUCAAUAAAGUAAAAAAAAUUACUUUGUAAUAUAAAUCUUAUAGAGUAAUUUUGGCGUUAAAAAAAAUUGAUUGGAGCUCUUUAAAAAAAUACUUUACUCGUUGCGUCGCUUCCCCUCACCCCUCCUGCCGCUCCUUUUCGUUCUUCCGCCCCAUCCUUUCCCCUCCACCCUCUCCCUCUACUCCCUCUGACUUUGACGACGACGGCGACAAGAUGUGGGAGGCGCUGCCGAUGACGCCACCGCUGACUGUGCGCCCCUCCACCUCCCCGUCGCGGCCGCUGCAGCCCACAGAUGCUCUCGCUCCGAGAUGGGACACCGGUGGGUUCUUCAUGUUGGGUUGUCUAGACGAAGGGUGGUGAUGAAGAUGGGAGGGAUGAGGAGGUGGUGGGUUUGAGCAGGGAGAAGGCAGUGGGGAUGGGUUUGAGCAAGGAGAAGGUGGUGGUGGUUGUGGGCUUUUUUUUUUCACAGUAAUUUUUUUUUUUUUUGCAAAUUUGAGCCAAACACUAAAAAACAGGGUAAAAAAUUAUGAAGUAUUAAGAUUUUGGUAUCAAUCUAUCACAAUAAAAGAUAAAACUCUGUUUUUAAUCUCUAAGAUUGCCAAAUAGACCCUUAAUUGCUGUGGUAUCAAAGCAUAAAACAUUAACACAUUGUUUCUCUGCCAUUUUUCACCCACUGUUUUUCUUGCUGUUCUGUUUUUAGCCUGCAGCCUGCCUCAUGAACAGAUACUUCAGCGAAAAAUAACAAAUGAAUUAAGGAGAAUUUGUAUCUCUUUCCUUUAGUUCUGCUUCUUUCAAUUUUGGCUGUUAGUCACUAGAAAACUACUGUGACUCUUUCUUUGUUUUCUUAUUGUGGUUUUUUUAUAGGAAGCACCAGCUGUCAUCGAGUCCUACUAUAACAAGAGAAUUGUCGGUUGUCCUGGUGGUGAAGGAGGUACCAAACCUUGAAAUAUAGCUCUUCUUCUGUACUUGUAGCCUUCUACAUUCAGAAGUCCUAAUAUUUUAUACAAAGAAAGGAUUCAACUUUUCGGAACCACUUAUUUGCAGAGGAUGAGCACGACGUCGUAUGGUUCUGGUUGGAAAAGGACAAACCACACGAAUGCCCAGUUUGCUCCCAAUAUUUUGUGGUAAUUGAGAUGGAUUAACAUAUUUAAAAUUUACAUUUUCUAUGUCCAACAAGAAUAAAUUGCAUAACAACAUGAUUUCUGUAUUAACAUGAAGAGCCAUGAUAUCUUCUGCAGCUGAAGGUGAUUGGCGACGGAGGAGAUCCGGACGGCCAUGGUGAUGAUGAUCAUCACUGACCAUGCACGCGCUUCCGCAGAAUAAAAAUUGGUUGCGAAGAUGAGGUCUGUAAUACUUUGUAGCAUCGAGACAGCUUUGUGCUUUCUCUUCCCGACAAGUAUUCUUGUUCUUGACCAUGAAUCUGGUGGUUUUCUUUAUCUGAGAAUUUUGCUUAUUCCCGCAAUUCGACCUGUGAAUUUCUUAGCAUUUUUAUAAUGCAUCAAAUAAUGGAGGGACUCGUUGAUCGUCGAUUAUUCUGUUCUUUCGUCUGUUUCCAUUACCAACCGUUUGAUGGAUUCCUCUGUUUGGGGUAAUCUGUAGUGUCUUGUACAUUCAAUUUGACGAUUUCUUUUUUCUUUCUUCUGGGUGGAAUUUUUAUAGCCUCGCAAAUUUUGCUACGAAAAACACUUUAUGGAGUACUUAAUAUAUAUUAGCAUUUUUGCGGGUAAAUUUUUCACUCCUAUGGGAGUUUGAACCUGAGUCUCUCCCGUGGGGGAGCUUGCUAACCGUAACUAAACACCAUGCUUCUAAUGGUACUUCUUGUAUAGUAUUUUAUAAAUACUAACAUUACCUACACUCUUAAACAGGGCUAAAGUAGACCCUACGCUAGUAACAGCGUUCAUUUUACGGAAAAAAAGAUAAUAGCUUUUGUGCAGUAAAACAAGGCUAAUGAACCAAGUAGUAAGGAUAAGUAAUGCUGCUUCAAAUGCCAUUUCGAAUUUCGUUUGAGAUCUCAUGUGUGUAAAUAACAAGACUCCCAGCUGUGUUUCUAGAACAAAAUCUUCCUGUUUGCUCUUUUGUGCUUUGUAGUAUUUAUAUGCUCUAAGGCUACCACCUACAUGGCCAUACAUAGGGUUGGUAACUUAAGUAGGACAAAUGGACAAUUUUAACUUAUUUCGGAGGGUAUCAAUCCGCCUUAGCAUAGAUAGAUAAGGUACUCAGCUCUCAAGCUGUGGGUCCCGAUUCAAUUCUAUAUUCUAUCAAAAUAAAAAUUUCAGAUUUCAGUAAAUGUACGAACCGAGUCAGAAAUAAAAAAGAAAAGAAGCCCUCAAUGUAGAGGAUGCUUAUUCGGUAAAAAAAAGAAAAAAGAAAAUGAAAGGUGCAACAGUAUAAAUCACACCUAAACUAUAGCAUGCUUUAAAAUAGCUAUAUUAUUUUUAAAUGUUAGGAUUUCACUAAUUUGAAUUGCUUUUCUAAUAGAUUAAAGAACCCUAAAAACUUUACUACCUAACUAUGAAGCAUUAACAGAAAUUUUGGUAGAAUAUACCGUUAAGUAACAAAACGUUCAAUCAACCUACGAAAUAUUACGAGAAAAAUAUUAUGAACACUUUACAAAUAGAAAGUUAAAAUCAAAAGUUGUUGAAGUUCAGGCGCCUAUUUUAAAAGUUGUGAUUUUAAAAGUUGAGGCAUCUUCAAAACGUUCAAGAGUUGGAGGUGUUAUUGGCUCUAAUACCCCAGUUAUCAUUGCACCUUAAUUUUGAUAAAACUCGUUCAAUCUAAAAACUUAGAUUUAGAGAUCGUGCGCAUGAGAUAUCUACAAAAAAUUCUAUUUUAUUAUUCAAUGUGGGACUAUUUAUAUGCGAAUUUCUGACCAGGUUAACUUUCUUUUCUUUUUUCCUUUUUCUCUGCGGUUCCUUGGCCACUACUGCUCCUACUAGUGAUUAAACUAAAAUAGUUGCAAUAUUUAGUUUAAUUUAAUCCAGUUGUUGGUUUAUUAUGGCCAAUUUUUACUUAGUUAAUGAAUUGAGCCGCGGUAACUUACAAGUGGUUUGCACUUACAUUAUAUUAUGAGACCAAAAAGAAGGGAAUAUUUUUCUUGUCCAAGUUUACUGCUAUACCUAUUUUCUAUUUCCACUAUAAUAGAACAAUAAAUUUUUUAUGACAUUUUUAUUCAACAUUCCUUCCACACUAUAUUAGUCUUAUAUUUCACUACAAAAAAAUUACAGUAAUUGCAAGUGCAUAACCAGUUUUGUAGUGAAAUGCUAUUCCUAGAAAUUUUAUUGUGGAAAAUGUGCGGAUGUUCCCUCUAUUAUCUCGACUUUGUGAUUUGGUCCAUGUACAUUUCACUUACACACUUUAGUUCAAAGAAUUACAUUUUAUUAUAAAAUAACCAUUUUGUUUCUGUUGAAAAUGGCUCAUUUAUUUAAGUUAUUACAUCAGAGCGUUAAAAAAAUUUAUCAGUACACCUUUAUCUUACACUCUAUCAAUCCAAGCAUUAAAACAAUCUUUUUAAAAUUUUAAUAUUACAAAAAAGAAUCAUGAUAAGACUACUGAGAUAAAAUUAAUUUUUAGAUGAAUAGAAUGUAAGAUUUACACUCACUUUUGUGUGUACAUAUGACAGGGUUCUUUACAAAAAUAUUAGAAUUAUUCUAUUGUGAAAAA
rnacentral:lncRNA from 1 species